rnacentral:lncRNA from 1 species
AUGCAAGAAGUUAUAGUGAAAAAUAAGUAAAGGCUGUUAAGUCACUGUGAGGGAGCUUAUUAAAUUUAAAAAGGAAAACCAUAUCAUUUACAUGGAAGGGGAAAAGUUGCUCCAACAGAAAAGAUUUGUUGUACUUUUAAUUUCUAGGAGCAGUUAGGAGUUGAAGUCCCAUCAAAACACCUAUUGUUUCAUUCCAUGUGUUGUUUCGUUCCAUCCAUAUACAUCGAAAUAUACAUGCUGGUACCAUUUGCCAGAUUUUCUUGAUGGAUCUAUCCACUUUCCUUAAGCGAUCCACUUUCCUCAAGCUCCCACUUUCAAUCCUUCUUUUGAGGCUUUAAUAAAUGUGUUGCUUCCUUUUUCACCCUUCCUGUUCAUGUAUUUUCUUUAGAGCUGUUCUAGUGUAAGAAUUGAAGGUUGUAAAGUUCCAGUUGUAGGCUAAUAGUAUUCCUUACGUUAAUUUGCAGGUUCUUCUUGGACAAUCUGAUGUGUCCGGAUGGGGUGCUUUCUUGAAGGUCAUAGCUAAGAACAGUUGUGCCUUUUCUCUUUCUAUCUGCACAUCCUUGUUAUUUUUGGGCUUACCUUUAGAAUUCCUUACAGAAUAAUGUUAGCAAGCACGAUUACCUUGGGGAAUAUACCGGUGAAAUAAUCUCUCACGAUGAAGCCGAUCGGCGUGGAAAGAUAUAUGAUCGUGAAAAUUCUUCGUUUCUCUUCAAUUUAACUGACCAGGCAUGAGAAACAACUUGCCCUUAAUACCUUGUUAAGUACAUGCAUAGAGUAGAGCCUCAAUUGUAGUCUUACAUGAAUUACUUGUCUUGUGUGCAUGUAGUCUGUGCUUGAUGCUUAUAGGAAGGGUGACAAGUUAAAGUUCGCAAACCAUUCUCCUAAUCCAAAUUGCUAUGCCAAGGUAAUUGUUGAAAUUUGCAAUGGCAUUCUCUGGAUUGGUUUGUUUGUAGUAGAUUCAAUAAAUACUUAAUUAACUCUUUGACAGAUUAUUAUGACGGCCGGAGAUCACCGAAUUGGUAUAUUUGCCAAAGAAAAAAUUUAUGCUGGACAAGAACUCUUUUAUGAUUAUGAUUAUGCGCCAGAUACAAAGCAUGUCUGGGCAAGAAAGCCUGAGGCACCCACUACAAGAAAGUAAGUCCGGCAAGGACAUUUAUAAAUGUCGUAUUAAGUUACAUUAGCUUUUGUUUUUAAUUAACAUGAACGUCUUGAAAUUUCAAUGUCGGAAAUUUUCCGACAUCUAAGUAAACAUUAAUAAAAUAUUUGCGACAUUUCAACUUUGCCUUUAUUAAAAGAAGUAAUAAAUUUAUGAUUUUAUUUACAACGUUUGUGAAAUGUCACAUUGGAAUUUCCAUCUAUGUUAAUGUCGCUAAACGUUUAAUGGCAUUUAUUUCUUUACGAUUUUAUUAGAUUUCUACAUUAUAUGUUUUUAGCUUAUUGUUUACAACUUCUUUAAAAGUGUUUGAAAUUUUUUUAGUUAUUAUUGACACUAAGUCGAAUAUUUUUAAUAUAUCACGCAAAUGUUGCCGAGGGUCUUUCGAAAACAACCUUUCUACAAUCAAAAUUGAACAAAUUGAUAAGGCUUUAUAAAGAGCAACAAAAACCAAAUGAGAAGUGAUGACACAUAUUAAAGUGUCUACUCAAUAUUUUACGCUUUUAUAAAGUGACGUAAAUCUCAUAGGAGUCGUUUGGUGUGAGGUAUAAGGUACAAUAGUUCCGAGAUAAAAUGCAAGAUUAUUUUAUCCCGCAUUUGGUUAGAGGUAUUAAUUAGUUCCGGGAUUAUUUAUCCCACUAUUUAUACCUUAGUGAUGAGAUAAAUUAUUCCAUAUACAUGGUGAGAUAACUAAUUCUAGAAUAAGUUGUCUCUGGAUAUGUGGAUUAUAUCCCAGGAUAAUUUGUUCCCAACAAAAUGACUCCUUAAGGCCUUGCAUAAAUACUAGUACAUAUGAAAAGACAAUAUAUUAAUUCUAGUACCGGUAGAUUGCAUAAAAGAUGUAAAUUUGGAAAGUGAAAAGGUUUGGAAUGUAAAAAUAAAAUAUAAGACAAUUUAUACAACGUGUACAGUUAAACGGUUAGAGAAAUGAACUAACAAAAUAAAACCAACUUGUCAAAAGACUAAGAUUAAUAGCAGAAGAUGAAAAUCUCUCCCCAUUAAAUUGUAGUGUGACAUUACGUAGUGAUGAGACUGCUCUUAGUUUAAUUUAUGAAAUAUCUCAUAUCGACGUCAAUUGUAUACAUGCCAAAAGUAAAAAAUGCGACGAUGAGAUCACAGAGGGUUAACACGGAAGCUAAUAUAUCGCAAUAACGUGCUUAAUUAUUAUCAUUUUUAUUUAUUUAAAAGCAAGCGAAAAAUUAUAUAAAUAUUGCUAGAAGAGGAAAGCUAUCCAAAACAAUGGAUAAUCAUGAUAUUAAUGGAAGAUGAAAAUAAACCCAUGAAAGUAAACAGACUAUGGUAAGUGCUUUCACAGAUACAUGGAACUUGCCAUUUCAUUGAUUUACUUCCCAUUUAAUUGAUUCAUUUAUCAUUUAUUGGUAGCUAAAUUUAGCCGGGAGUCUAUCGGAAACAACUUCUCUACUUCAUCUGAGGUAGAGGUAUGGACUGCAUACACUUUACCCUCUAAUUAAAUUUGGUUGUCUUGCUACUUGGCACGGAGUUUUAGAACGUAAAGAUAUGUUGAAUGUACCAAUGUGCCCUUUAAUUUUGGCUCUAAACAUGCAAUGUGGAAAGUUAGGAUUAAAGAGUUGCUAAAAAAAUAAAGCGACAUUCUUUUUAAAACGGAUUAAAAAGAGAAGGUAAAACAAACAAAUUGAAACAAAAGGGAGUGUUUGGUGUUAAAAUUCUAUAGGAGUAGUUUUCGAGUUACAUAUUUUGUUCAACGGAUAAUCUUCAACAUAUGACAACAACAACAAUAUACCAGUGUACACAGUUCGUACCACUACCUCAAAUGUGAGAUAGAAAGGCUAUUUUUGAACGACCCCCAGCUACAUUUGUAGGAUGUAUUAAAAAUAUUAGAUUUAAUGUCAAUAAUAACUAAAAAAAAUUUGAAAUACUUUUAAAGAAGUUGCAAAUAAUAAGCUAAAAACAUAUAACGCUGAAAUCUGAUAAAAAACGUAAAUAAGUAAAUGUCAUUAUACAUUUAGCGACAUUAACCUAGUUGAAAAUUUCAAUGUGAUAUUUCACAAACAACAUAAAUAAUUAUCAUAAAUUUAUUUAUUUCUUAUAAUGGUAAAGUUGAAAUGUCGCAACUAUUUUAUCAAUGUUUACUUAGAUGUCGGAAAAUUUCCGACGUUGAAAUUUCAAGACAUUCAUGUCAAUUAAUAACAAAAGCCUAAUGUAACUUAAUACGACAUUUAUAAAUGUCCUUGUCGGUCUUACUUUCUUGUAGUGGGUGCCUCAGGCUUUCUUGCCUAGACAUGCUUUGUAUCUGGCGCAUAAUCAUAAUCAUAGAAGAGUUCUUGUCCCGCAUAAAUUCUUCCUUUGGCAAAUAUACCGAUUCGGUGAUCUCCGGCCGUUGUAAUAAUUUGUCAAAGAGUUAAUUAAGUAUUUGUUGAAUCUACUAUAGACAAACCAAUCCAGGGAAUGCCAUUGCAAAUUUCAACAAUUACCUUGGCAUAGCAAUUUGGAUUAGGAGAAUGGUUGCGAACUUCAACUUGUCACCCUUCCUAUAAGCAUCAAGCACAAACUACAUACACACAAGACAAGUGAUUCAUGUAAGACUACAAUUGGGGCUCUACUCUGUGCACGUACUUAACAAGGUAUUAAAGGCAAAUUGUUUCUCAUGCCUAUCAGUUAAAUUGAAGAGAAACGAAGAAUUUUCACGAUCAUAUAUCUUUCCACGCCGAUCGGCUUCAUGGUGUGAGAUUAUUUCACUGGUAUAUUCCCCAAGAUAAUCGUGCUUUCUAACACUAUUCUGUAAGGGAUUCUAAAGGUAAGCCCAAAAAUAACAAGGAUGUGCAGAUAGAAAGAGAAAAGGCACAACUGUUCUUAGCUAUGACCUUCAAGAAAGCACCUCAUCUGGACACAUCAGAUUGUCCAAGAAGAACCUAUAAAUUAACGUAAGGAAUACAAUUAAUCUAAAACUGGAACUUUACAACCUUCAAUUCUUACACUAGAACAGCUCUAAAGAAAAUACAUGAACAGGAAAGGUGAAAAAGGAAGCAACACAUUUAUUAAAGCCUCACAAGAAGGGUUGAAAGAAAAAAGCACAACUAAUUCAAGCGUAUUUAAUUAGAAAUUCAUACGAGUGAACAAAGCACGACUAAAAUAGGGGUAAGCAUUUACCUUGAAAAAGUGGGUUGAACACCAUGAGGUCUAAAGGUUCAAUUCCCAACGGAGAAUAACAUUUGGUGAUAUCUUCAAUCUGACCUAGCCUUGGUGGUACCUAUUGCUGGUGGUAGGUGGCAAGUAUCCCGUGGAUUUUGUCAAGGUGCACACAAGUUGGCCCAAACACCACGGUUAUCCAAAAAAACGUAGUACCCUUUGAUCAGAAAAUUUGAAAAUUAUCUGUUGUAAUGUCUUUGUCACUUACUGAUUCUCUUUGACCCAGCGACAUUUGCUUCUGCUAAUGGAGCGCGGCUCUGAACUCGAGAAAUUGAUCACUGUUCUGGAAAGGGAUAUGAAGUAAGUCGGAAAGGAAAUUCCUUUUACGCUUUCUGUGUUGCUUUGGAUUUCUAAUCAACAAAACUAUCUUCUGAUAAAGUUGAAUUUAUCUGCAGCAUGAGAAAACAGAGCUCCUGCUCUCUUUUAAGAGAUACCAAUGAAAACGAAUCGUCGGUGAAAACAGUUCAGUUGACGUCACUACCACCGAGAGUUGAUGCUAGGGUUUUCGAGUUUGUGAGAGAGAACUCUAGAAUACUCUUUUUUCUUAGAGAAGAACUGUAGAUGUGUCAUUUCUUAAACUUUCAAUUAUUAAAACUUAAAACUCAUAAAUGUAAGAAAAUUUUUUCCAUUUGUUUGUACAUGUCACUAAAUGCCGACUAAUAUUUUGUGACAUUUGCAUUGGAAGUCCCUAUAGCUUAGAUGUUUUUACUCAAAUGUCAUUAAUUUUAUGACAUUUUUUCUUAAAAUGUCAAUAAAUCAAUCCUUUUCCGACAUUUAAUAUUCAAUAAAUCAAUACUUUUCCGACAUUUAAAUGUCGCAGGCCUAUUUUCUUGUUGUGUCUAGCAUAAGAUCAAAAAAGGAAUGAAGGUUGUAAAGUUCCUGUUUAGGCUAAUUGUAAUUUCUCGCAUUAAUUUGCACGUUCUUCUUGGAAGGUGCUUGGGUGCUUUCUUGUGGUCUAAGAACAGUGUUAUGCUUUUCUUACUCUAUCUUCACAUCCUUGUUACUUUAGGGCUCAUGUUUAGCAUUUCUUACAGAAUACUAUUGGAAAGCAUAAAUACUUUGGGGAGUAUACUGGUGAAAUAAUCUCAAACCAAAUAAUCUCAAACCAUGAAGCUGAUAAGCGUGGAAAGAUUUAUGGAUCGAGAAAAUUCUUAGUUUCUCUUCAGUUUAAAUGAUUAGGCAUAUGAAACGACUUGCCCUUCUUACCUUGUUAAGUUAGUCCAUAGGCUAGGGCCUAUAAUGUGUUCUUACGUGAAUCGCUUGUCUUGCGUGCAUAUAGUUUGUGCUUGAUGCUCAUUGGAAGCAGUUUUGUGAAAAGCGCUUAAGCGCUCGCUAAAAGCGCCAAGCGACAGAGGGCCGCUUUUUUUACCUGAAGCGAUGGGAGGAGAAAAAGGCGCGCGCUUCAGGCCCAGAAGCGAGAAGCGACGGACCAGAAAAGGCGCGGAAAAGCUCGCUUAAGCGCUAUUUAAGUUUUUUCUUUUUUUAAAAAGAGUUUUAUUGGUUUUUUCUAUUUAUUCUAAUUAAAACCCUUAAGCGAAUUCUUCGACUGUGGAGCUGCUGCUGCUGCAACUGGUAUGUGACUUCUUCUUCUUCUUCUUCUUUAUUUCUCUUUUCUUUUUCCUCUCUAUUUAUCUUCUUCUUCCUUGUUAUCUGAUUCUGUUUUUUCCCCCUCUUCUUUGCUAUUUCAAUGUUUCUUCUCUGUUCUUCUCAGUUCUGCUUUUGUUUUUCCUCUUCUUCUUCUCUGUUUUCCAGCUCUGGUUUUCUUCUUUUUUUGCUCUGUGUGUUCUUAGUUCUGACAUCUGUCUAUCUGUUUAUAUUUUCAUUAUUUUGUUUUCUCUUGUAGUAUAUUUCUUUAUUCAACGGCUCAAAAAAGAGAUCCAGCUUGGGCGUAUGGAAUUGCAAUAGGCAAUACUAAUUUAUUAUUUUGUUUGCUUGGAUGCUUGUUAUGCCUAUCUAUUGUCUUUUUAAUUUAAGAAUUGAAAGAUUUUGUUAUUUAUUGAGUUCUUGGCUAUUUAUUUGUGCAUGCUUAAUAUUUUUAAAUUUCGUACUAAAUAGCGGUCUAAUGGAAAAAGUGUGUGCUUCGCUUCACACUUCUCACUUCUGUGAAGCGAGCCCUCGUCGCUUUUUUCCGUCUUUCGCUUUUCAAAACACUGAUUGGAAGAGUGACAAUUUGAAGUUCACAAACCAUUCUCCUUAUCCAAAUUGCUGCUCCAAGGUAAUUGUUGAAAUUUUCGUAGGCACUCCCUGGGUUGUCUUGUCUAUGGUUGAUUAACUGUUAUUAUGUCGGCUGGAGUAACAGAGUUAGUAUAUUUGCCAUAGAAAGAAUUUGUGAAGGAGAGAAACUCUUCUGUGAUUAUCAUUAUGAGCCAGAUGCAGUACCUGCCUGCGAAAGAAGAGGACCUCUUCUAUGAUUAUAAUUAUCAUCUGGUUCUAUGAAAGAGUUUCCUUCUCCUUCAAGUGCCGUACUUUUCGAUUGGCUCAUUCUUUUAACAAGAAGUUUAUUAUCUACAUUGACCACCUGAUCCACUUAGUUGGCGGACAAAACCAUUGCUUCUCCAGGAUAACUAACUUAUCAGAUAGUGUUUCAGUUUAUUAUAGGCUGCAUUCAGUGCCCGUUGAGUGUAGCCUUUGAAGCGGGAAAAUAUUUACAGGCUUGCUGAUAUCAUAUUAAUGGUUUACAUGUAAAACAACAUAAUGAAAUUGUAAACAUUUAUCUAGGACCCGUUUGGCCGAAUUUUUCACUUCCUCCAAAAAAAAUAAAAUCCGUUUUUUUAAAAACACUGUUACUGUUCAAAACCUGUUUGCAAGUUUUUCAUUUAAACUUUUGACCCUUUUUUUUUAAAGUUUGCACCAUUUUUUUGUUUUUACAAAAACCAUCCCAUUUAUUUGAACCACCAUCCAGGGUAAAUGCCAACUAUCGUAGGCUGGCCACUUCCCCUCGAUACAUCUCUCAUGGAAGAGUGCAACUUCUACUCCUUUUUUCUCUCUCUAACUCAUCUCUACCGAUGGCACAUAAUCCUUAAUCCGGCCAGUCGUGUGUCUUUAGGCAGCACCAACAACACCGACGACAUUCUUUGAUGGUAAUUACUAAAAUCUACUAUUAUUUGCUUGAUUUAUUUAGAUUUUUUAGAUUUGUGAACCCUAGGUUGAGAUUUUCAUACAUUUGGUUAUGUAUUCACAACUUCGAUUCUCUUUUCAGGUAAUAUGUUCAGAUCUUCAAUUUUUUUUUUGCUCAACUGUUGGACAACAUAUUUUGUGCUUUUAUUUUUGGUUGAGUCAGCUUUUAUCUGGCUGCUGGAGCUGAUUAGGCAAGUAACACCUGAAGCUAAUUUUGAGAUUUCAGACGAAAAUUGUGUGGUUGCGCCUCCACUGGUUAACAGGGUAACAUAAUUUAAAGUUUUAUUUUCCCUUCAACCUUUCUUAUUGCGCAUGUUUUCAGUUGUUCUUCUGUUCAAAAAUGAAGAUAUUUAUGCGACCGGUUAUUUAUUAUUAUACUGUAGAAAUGUAAAGGAAUCAGUAAACCACUUGGUUCAAACUCCGAUAAAUGGAUGGAAGAAGAGACACUGAUUCUGAUCAAUAUCCUACAUGAUGAUACGAUGAAGUAUGGAUUUAAUGGUCCAUGUUGGAGGGAAGUUAUAGAUGAGUUUUGGUUGAAAUCUGACAAGAAAGACACUUGUACGAACACCAAAUUAAGUCCAAGUACAACAGCUUAAAGAUCGAAACAAUUAAAAAAUUCAAGGACAUCCUUCAAGGUUGCUCUGGAUGUUGUUGGGAUCCUGAAAAUUACGUAUUGACUUACUUGUCCAUCUGCGAUUUGGGCAGAUCAUGUAUUGGUAAGUUAGCUAGAUGAGUAAAAGUAUGUAUAACCAUGUACAGGUAGAAGGGGGGAUUCAACAUUUUGGUUGUCAUGAUGGUCUUAGGUCUACACAUGCUCAAGUAGUGGUACUGGGACUGGUAAGCGAACUAUGGCUAAUCCAUCUAUUGUAACUGAUGAUGGCACAUCUACAUGUUGAAAUAAAAAGUUGUACUAUAGCUAUUGACGGCAUACAUGAAUCUUCUAGGAGGCAUUUGAAGUGAAAAAGAGAUGGCGUGGAGGCAAAAGAAAAAAAAAUGGAAGAAAGUGCACGACUGGUAAUACCUUUUAAGAUGGUUAUCUACUCUGAGCAAGUCGUCAUUACCCAAUUGCAAUAUAUCAUGGAAAUAUUUUGUAUUUCGACAAUAAGCAACUUUCUCUGGUUGUGCCUCACUUGCAUAACCCGGCUUGCAAGAUGUUUGUCCAUAUAGAAAAUGGCAAAUUCAAUGGGUUAAGGACUUGGGACAAUUUUGAGAAAAUAGUGUUUAUAAUUGGUUAUGUUGUUCUCUAGUGCGAUGAAACGCAAACUUUUUACACGUGUAAUGGUUUAUGUGUAACGAUUCUCUGUGGCAGAUUCACUUGGUGUGGGAUUUGUAGUAAUGUCUCUAUUUGAAGUCUGAAUAUUGCUUUUAGUCAUGUUUCUUUGUUUAUGCAUGUUAUUUGGUUCUCUGGUCUGUACUAUAAAUGCUGUCAUUGUAGUAUUUUAAGUUUAGCAGGUUGGUUGUAGUGUCCAUUGAAAUACAGGAAGCAUAUCUAGCAGAGACACUUGGCGAAACAACGGCAUUGAGGAUUGCAUCUUAUACAUUGCAGUUUCUGAUCAGAGAAAUUGCUUGCAAUAACAGGUCAUUAUCUCGCACACGCAAUACACAUCUAGGCCAAAUAUGACAUGGAUUGUUGAUCUUCUUUGGGGACAUCACAUAAGUAUGUAUGAAUUUACACGUUUCUAUCUGAAACAUUUCGUCGGCUAUCGAGCGAUGCAUGUUCCAGUUGAGUAUGUAGCUACUUUUCUUACUGUUGUUGCACGUGAAGAGACAGUCAUCGCUUGGCAAGCGAAUGGAUUCAACAUUCACUCGAGACAAUAAAGCAAUUAGUCGACAGGCUCCAACAUUUAUAUUCCCAACAACUAUUCUGGCAUACAUCCGAAGAUUUCAUAUAGUAGCUGCUUUUGGAUUACACUGGCUAUGUUAUUGUUUAAGGUAAGAUCUAAAGCUACCGACUCAACAUUUACUGUUGAUGCUUGAAAAGUCUUUAUUUUUCAGUGUUAGAUUUAUAAAUGAGUGCAAUAUUGUAGAUUAGUUUCUUCGAACUGCUUCAUAGUUUGAUUAACUUAAAGCUGAUUAUAUCCCAUCUGCGUGUUUAGCUUAAACAAUUCUAUGGGACAUAUGUACACACCGAUGUCCAAAGAAAUAAGCAGCAGGCUUAUCGUAAUUAUUUGAUUAAUUCAAAGCUGAUUAUAGCCAUGUGCAUGUUUGGCUUAAACAAUUCUAUGGGACACCUAUACAGGAAUAUCCAAAGAAAUAAGCAGCAGGCGUAUCGUAACUUUAAGGGUUUUGAUAUGCGGUUCACCUUUAUUGCAGCUGCUUGGGAAGGUACUGCACACGAUAGUAGAGUGCUUGAGAAUGUGAUUGUUGAUCCAGAGCUAAGAGUUUCGUUUUCACCACACGGUAUAUUACUUGAAAUGCAUUAUAUUACAUUUAUUUUGUUUUUAUAGAUAAAAUACUAUGUUGUUGGCACUGGUCUAUGGAGCACGAAAGGGUUUUUACCUCCAUAUAAAAGAAUGUGAUAUCAUUUGCAAGACAACAGGGAGUGAAAGAGAGCCUCAAAACGAUAAGAGUGGAUCAACUGUAGGCAUUUAUCUCUAUGCAUUGUAAUUGAAAGAAAAUUUGGAUCAUGGAAUAUUUAGAUUUAGAAUAUUACUACAAGGCAAACACUUAUGAUGUAGGCACACACGUUAGGAUUGUAAUUGCGUGUGUUGUGUUGCACAAAUUUUUGCAGGAACAUAGUAGUUGUUGGAUUUUUUCAUCAUGAUAUAGUAGUUGAUGGCACCAACUAACAUCUGACGGGGCUUAACAUUGUUGUUUCGUCUUCUCAGGCAGUUGAUCAAGAAAUGCGUGCUUGGCGAAAAGAGAUUGUUCAGAGUGGGAAAAUUAUAUUUAAGUAUAGCUACUUACUAGUUUUGUUAACUUUUUGUUCUAAUGACUUGCAAUAGUAUCAAAGAAUUGGAUGUGUAAUAGUAUGUAGGAGCUCUCGUAUAUGGGAUUCUAAUCUAUGACAACAUUAUGUGACUACGUAGUAGCUCUCGUAUAUGGGAUCUAAUCUAUGUCCUUAUGUGACUAUUUUUUAUGAGAUAUUGUUCUUUUAAAGCAAAUUUGGCUGUAUAUUUUAGUUCGAGUAGUCAAGGUGGGUGGUUGUGCUAAGUUCAGAAAUUUGAAGCUGAAAUCAUAUUUUUUUUAAAAGUAGUACAUUUAGAUUCUAGCUGUUCUUUGCAAAUAGGAUGACCAAACACAAUUUAAAAUCCUAUUAAAAAAUCUCAAUUAAAGUGAAAUGCCUCUGAUUUUCAUGACUAUACGCCUUCUUAGUUGCCCAAUUCUGAGUGGAAGUCAUAUCUAGGAGCAAAUCGAGGCCACAACAAGAAUUUCUUGCUGAUAAUACUUAAUAUCUGCUGCCAAGACAUUUUUCUAAAAAAAAGAAACAUUCUCACUUAAUACUUCAAAUUCACCAUCUACACAAAGUGAAAAAAUAUAACAAUAGAGUGAAAAAAUUACCAACCUCAAGGGUUGAAGCUUUUACGCAACAAAAAUAAAAGAAAUUGGUAAAUGGUAAUCAAGAUUAGUCUCUCUUUACAACAGCUUAUGACAAACCAAAAUGGGAAACAAAAAACAGAAAUCUCAGAAAUAGCUAUACUUUGACUAAUUAUCAAAAAUAGCAAUAAUUAAGUCUAUUUAUUAGCUAUAAAUUCUCUCUGUUUGUUGUAUCUAUACCAAGAGAAUUGACAUUAUGGACACUAGGGUCGUUUGGUACAUGGAUAAGUAAGAUAUCCCAUGAGAUUGGAGAUCCUAUAGAAUUAUUUUAUUCCUGUCAUAGUAAUUCCAUCAUUUUAGUACAAAUAGUGGGAUAAAAUAGUUUCAAAAUUAGUAAUUUCUUGCAUCAAACAUGGGAUAAAGUCAGGGGCGGCUCUACCUUGUUAACAAAUAUGCAGCCGUCUUAGGCCCCCAAAUUCGAGGAGCCUCAUUUUUUAAUAAUGAUAUAUAUAUAUAUAUAUAUAUUUCUUUUUAAAUUAAAUAUUAUUCAUAUAAAAAUAAUUUUUUUAUAUAAAAAGGAAAGAAUUAUUAUAAGAAGCUCAUAUAUCUAGAAUACUAUGUCUCAAGAAAGAUUAAAUGUAUAGAUUAUAUUAUUACUUAAAAAAGAAUAAUUAGAAAAAAGCGAUUAUAUAAUUUUGAAAAUAGUGUUCAUUAAAAAUGGUUAUUUUUUCUUAAAAUUUUAAGGUCUCCGUUUGAUUUUCGCCUUAGGCCACGAAUAUGUUUGAGCCGCCCUGGAUAAAGUUAAUCCCAAACUUAAUCUCAAAAUUAUUUUUCUAUUCCUUCUACCAAAUGAUCCUUAACGGAUGAGGCCCUACCGGCGCGAAUCCGAAUUAGUCGGCUUCAAUGCGGGUACCGGAUACCGGAUGGAAAACAAAAAAAAGAAUUGAUACAGCUCACGGCUCAAUACACAGCAAAAAUAGAUACAGCUCAAAUUGUGCUUAUGUAUUGUAAUUUUUUAAACUCUCAUUAUUUCGAGUUAAUACAAAAUAUAUAUUUGUUUUGUCAGAUAAAUCUUCCAAAUAAAAAGAGACUUGCCUUAUGUGCCAGAUUUUAUAACUUUUUAAUUAGAAGUAUUGUUAUUUAUAGAUUUGGUUACUUUUAAACUUGAAGAUUAGUCAAUUUUAUCAUAUUCCAUGGUUAAGCUAAACAUUAAGCUACAAUAUAGGAGUAAUGAAAGUUGGUUGGGUUAACCACUUUGCAGACAGUGAUAGAGAUGCACAAAAAUUGGCAUCUUCUUUGUCAGUCUCUCAUAAAUAUAAAUACAAAUGACCUCACUGUUUCUAAUAAUUUCUUGACUUUUUUGCCUUUUCGCUUUUCUCUAUCUUCUUUCUUUUCCUUUUAUACAUGAAAUGAAACUACAUUUGUUUUAUCAAAACUAGUGCUUUUUCUUUUCAAAUUUUCUGCUCGACAACUCCCAUGUUGUCGUGUUUGUCGGAGAAGCACAGUAUGUGGAGAAGAAGCGAAAAUGGUUAUCUCAUUUUGUUACUCUCUCACUUAGCUGUUUACUGUUUGCUCUUCACUUGUUCCGCUGCUUGUUCCAAUGGCAAUUGCCAGGUUCUUCUCUUUUACAAGAAAUUGCAAAAUUGUUUUUAUAUAUAUAAAAAGAACUCAUUUUUUUUGUGUUUAAGGUGUGUGUGUGCAAUUUUUGUAUGAAUUUGGUGAACCCCAUGUGCAGAUCCGUGCAAUUUUGAAUUUUGAUUUGUGGGUUUGAGCUGAAAUUUGAUGAAUAUUGUUACAGCUUCUUGAGUCAUGUGCUUCAGCUGCGGACUGUGGACCUGGUUUAUACUGUGGGAAUUGUCCUGAAUUGGGAAAGAGACAGCCGUUUUGUAUCAGAGGACAGACUAUUGAACCCACUUCCAUUGUAAGCUUCUUUCUUUACUAUACUCUCCAAUUUCUGUUCUGGGGAGGUCACGUGUUCAAGCCGAGGAAACAGCCUCUUGUAGAAAUGCAGGGUAAGGCUAGAAUAGACCCUCGUGGUCCGGCCCCCUUUCCCUGACUCGCACAUAAUGGGUGCUUUUGUGCACCGAACUGUUUUUUUUUUUCUUCUUUUUGAGUGAGGGUGAUGUAUAAAUGCUUUUGUUCUCUUUCUGGACUUGGGAAUGAGCAGAUUAGUGGAUUGCCCUUCAACAAAUACUCAUGGCUGGUGACCCACAAUGCCUUCUCAAUUGUAAAUGCACCAUUACUGACAGGCCCACAGAGAAUUACAUUCUACAAUCAAGAAGAUACUGUCACAAACCAAUUGAGAGUAUGUGGUUUCUUGUAUUUGUCCUGCUUCAUUUAUUCAACAUGAGUUUUCUAUGUUGUUUACACAAUUGCUUUUUAUUUCGUGUGUCUUUGUAGAAUGGAGUGAGGGGAUUGAUGCUGGAUAUGUAUGAUUUCGAGAACGAUAUAUGGCUCUGUCACUCAUUUCGUGGCCAAUGCUACAACUUUACUGCAUUUGUAAUGCUAUACAAUCCCUCUCUUCUUUUGUCGUGAGAUUGCCCUUGAGUAGCUUUUCGAUGUUAAUACGUAAAAUGUGGUUUCUAGGAACCGGCAGUCAACACUUUGAAAGAGGUGGAAGCAUUUUUGAGCGCGAAUCCUACAGAAAUAGUCACCAUCAUAAUUGAGGAUUAUGUGCAUUCACCAAAGGGUUUAACAAGGGUUUUUGCUGAUGCUGGGCUGGACAAGUAUUGGUUUCCUGUUUCUAAGAUGCCGAGAAAGGGCGAUGAUUGGCCCACUGUGAAUGAUAUGGUUAAAAAGAACUAUCGUUUGUUGGUUUUUACUUCUGAUUCUUCCAAGGAAGCUGCAGAAGGAAUUGCUUAUCAGUGGAGAUACAGGGUUGAUAUUGAGCGUAAGUGUGUGCCCGUUUUGGAGAUUUUAGUUUUUUGGGUUGGUUCUUUAACAAUCAUAUGUGGUAACAAUGUUUCAGCUGGAGACCCUGGAGUAGCACCUGGAUCAUGCUCCAGUCGUAAGGAAUCAAAGCCACUUAAUUCCAGAUUUGAGAGAGUGAAAAAUUGUGUGAAAAAUGAUUUGAAGUUGUAGGGUAUUUAUAGAUUUUUUUUUUUAGAUUAAAAAAUAUUUUUUAGAGUUUUUUGUUUUUUGUUUAAUAAAUGGGCUCAAACUAGCCGUUUGGACCCAAAAACGGCUAUAUAGCUGUUGGACCAACGGCUAGUUUGGCCCAAAAGCCAAAAUCUUUUUUUUUUUUUUAAUUUAUUCAGGCUGGGCUGGGCCGGUUAACCGGCAGACCUGAACCGGGCUUGGUCCGGGUCGGAUUAGUCGAGCCCAUUUUAAAAAAUAACCGGCCCGGAAUCCGAAAUCCUAAAGCCUAGGGCUUAUUGGGCCGGGUCAAAUCGGACCGGAUUAGUUACGAGGAUUGGGUCGGGUCGGGCCGGCCCACUUGACACCCAUACUUAGCCUCCUAAACUAAGGCUUGUACCUAUUAAACCUCUAAACUCCCCAAUUUGGUUCCAAUUGAACAUUUUUUGCCCAUAUAGCACUGCGCGUGCAGUUGACUUCGGGAAGCGCGUGUGGUGCUUUUUUUUAAUUAAAUUACGAAUAAAAAUGUGUCAAGUGGCACUAAGAGCCUCAAAAAUAUUAAUUAAAAAAUUUAUAUUUAAAUUAUUUUAUUAAUAUAAUUUUUAUUUAUUCUAAUUUCUUAAUUCUUUUUUUAUAAAAAGCACCCCCCCUAUAUCAUCUUCUUCACAUCCCCCCACCCCCGCCCCCUGCGUCUCCACCCAACCCCGCGUCUUCAUCGUUUCAACCUCACCCCACCCAUGCGUCUUCGCCGUCAACCCCCUCCCCCCACCUCACAUUUUCACAUGAACAAAUUUUUUUUAAUCCACCAUAAUUAUUUUCAUUUCACCAUAAUUAUUUCAUUUCCAUUUCUUGAAAAAUUUCAACAAAAGUCACUUUUUAUCCUCCAUUAGUAUCACCAUUUCUUGAAAAAUUACAACAAAUUUUAAUAAAGAUCACUUUUUUCUCCAAAAAAGAUCACUUUUAUCACCUAUUUCUUUUUUUUCCUCCACAAGAAAGAUCACUUUUUUUUUCAUUAAUAUCACCAUUUUAUGAAAAACUUAAAUAAAAUGACUUUUUUAUAGAUCCUUUUUGAAUUUUUGAAGUAGAUUUAAACAAAAAUUUUGUGUGUGUAUGUUUGAGGAUCAUGGAGAAGCAAGAUUCACUUUAAUGGAGAAGAAGAGGAAGAGGGGGAUGAUUAAUGCUGGGGAAGGUGGGGGCUAGGGAGCGGGGCUGGGCUGGGGAAGGUGGGGGUUUCUAAAAGAUUUUAUAAUUUCUUUUUAAUAAUUAGUUUUAAAUUUUUAUUCUAUAAAUAAUUUUAUAAUUACUUUUUAAUAAUUUGGAUACUCAAUGCCAUUUUUUAUUUUAUUUUAUAAAAAAAUUUAUAAUAUAUUUUUAAUAACCUGUUUUUUAUUUUUAUUUUUUAAAAAAAUUUAUAAUUAUUUUUUAAUAAUUAUUGGAUCUCAAUGCCAUGUGUUUUUUCUUAUUGGUCAUUUUUGUCACAUCAUGCGAGUGUGUUACACACACUCUAUACCUUUUGUUGAUUGUCCAAAAAAAGCCUAAAUGGAUCAAAUUUCAGGUGGGUGAGGGGCCUGAUAGGUACAAGCCUUAGUUAGGGGUUCCAAGUGAAUUUUUGGGAUAACUUUAAGUGGAUGUCGAUGACUUAAGCCAAAAAUAUAAAACAUGAUUUACAUAUAUACAUUGUGUGUAUAGAUCUCGUAUCAGAUUCAAAAAAAUCAAAAUAAAAGGGAUAUAACAAUAAUGAGGGAAAAAGAAAGAAGAAAUAUUUGACACUAGCAUAUAUAUAUGUGUGUGUGUGUGCCGCACAUUAGAAAAGUGAUUUGAACUUUUUGUCCUUCAUUAAAACAUUCUGUAAUAGACAAAAUCGUCUUUUCAUCCCUUUUCUUUAAUUUAACAAUGCCAUGUGGCAACUUCCAAUUAGCCUCUUUUGCCACAUCAGCGCGUGUGUGCAACACACACUUUGAGCUUUUAGCUGAUUGGGCAAAAAAUGUCCAAUUGGAAUUAAAUUGGGAGGGGGGUAAGGGUUUAAUAGGUACAGGCCUUAGUUUAAGGGGUCUAAGUGAAUUUUAGGAACAAGUUUAAAACACUAUCGAUGGAUUUGGCCUAUAAUAUAUGGUAUCUGAUAUAUAUAAUGUAUGUUAAAUUGCACUGUAGUGUGACCUUUACGGUUUUAUCAAUGUAUUUUAGUUCAAAUUUUCAAAAUUACACCAUAAAUAUGUGUAUUAGAUCCCGUUUCACGUUGUAAUAAGGGAGACUUAAAAAAAUUAAUAAGUUGGCAUUUUCUAUAUUUUAACCUUUUCAUUUAGAUACAGUUAAAUGACAAUUGUUCACAUAAUUAAGAAUUAAAAUGAAUCUGAAUUUUUUUUACUACUUAUUUUUUGGUAUUUACUGGCUGCAUUUGUUUUUAUUUCAGACGUAUAAAUCUGAAUGCACAUCUGAAUGAUUAAGAUGUUGGCUUUAGAUUUAAAAACUGAAUGAUUAAUAUUGUUUAUUUUUCAACAUUUAAAUGUGCAAAAAAAAUAUUUGUGUAUCUAAUAAAAAAUUCAAUUCAAAUAAAAAAUUAAUUAUAUAUUAAAAAAUAUAUAAUUUAAUAUAAUAAAAUUAUUAUUUGACUGGAAAAAGAAAAUCUAUGUUAGUGAUAGUGGAGAUGGUUUGUAAUGGUGGUUGCGGUGGCAGUGAUGAUGUUAGUGAUUCGUAAUGUUGGUGGGUAUAGUUGUGACGGCUGGUAUUGUAGUGACUGUUCUGAUGGUGACUAUUGAUUGUGAUGGUGGUGGUUGUGAUGUGAAAUCGGUUUAUGUUAGUAUUUGGAGAUGUUGAUUGAGAUGAUUAAAAAAUGAAUGCAUGAUGUGUUGGUGGUAGUUGGAGACACUAUUAGCUGGGAUGGUGGAGAUGGUUGUUAGUAGAGAUAGAUUGUAGCGAUGGUAGUGGUUCAAGUGAUGGUAGAGGUGGCAACACUGGUGACAAUGGUAGUAGUGGCGGCCGAAGAAUGUGUGAAGGUUGAUGAUAUAUUAAUGGUAGUUAGCGGUGGUGCUAGUUGUGAUAGAUGAGUUGGUUGGUAGUAAAGAUUCGCUGAUAGUGGUUGAUGAUGGUGGUGUCGACGGCGGUGGCGACAGCGGAUAUAAUUAGAAUAACGGAGGUGAUAGGUGUGGUAGUGGUUGACAAUAGUAGUUGGUAGCGAUAUAUAUUUGUUGGCAAUGAUGAUUGUGAUGGUGGAGGUGGUUGGUGAUUGGUAGUGGCUGACAAUGGUGGUGGUGGUAGAGGUAGUUAGUGAUGAUGACUGAUAAUUAUGGAUAGAGUGGUGGUGAAUAUUAUCCAACACAAGAAUACUUCUUAAUGAUAUUAAGACUUGAUUCUAGAUCUGAAUGAUUAAAACCUAUUAAGAGCUAAAAUCUUAAUAAAAAACAAUAAUAGUCUGAAGUCUGAACUAUUUAGAUUCAGACCUCCAUUAAGUGCAAACAAACAAGGCUAAGUAAGAAAAAAAAAAACAAUCCAACAAACAUAUAAUUAUAUGCAACGAAACCAGAGGUUAGGUUCCUUCGGGGUUGGAUAGUAGACAAUUAAUGAGUGUCAUUUAUGAAAAUUAUUUUCUCUAUUCCUACCAAUAAAGUCAUCUUCCUAAUUUUUAAUAAAUUUACAUUUCUCCAUACAAUAUACACUCUGAAAGAUUGUACGGCUUGAAAAAUAUUUUGAACGACAAUGCAUUUUUUUUUUCUUACCCACCAGUUAGGCAUAUUGCUAUGUCAUCAAAUGACGCAAUUAUGAACUUAGCUCGAGAUUGAAAUUUAAUUUUCCUUAUGUAUAAAGACAUUGAAACAGCUUGCCAAAUGUUAAUGUGAUAAAUCAAUCAUCACAUUGUUAUGAUAUCACGUCACGAAUUGUUUGAUACUAUAUAAUAUAUAACUCUUUUUGUAUAUAAGUGAAAUAUAACAGUCCAAAUUAAAAUAGAUAAAGUAGAAUGUUACAUUAUCCAAAAUUAUAAAUAAUGUAAGCACAUCUAAUAUGAACUUCUUUCACCAUUUCCAUGAAACUUAACUAGUUUGAACAGUUGGGAAAAUAAAGAAAUCAAUGACAUAAGGAGAGAGACAUAAUUAAAGGGUAACAGCUCCCAUGAAUAUAGCAUCUUCACCCAUAGCAUGCAAAGUCUGAGGGGUCAAACAAGCUUCAAUGUCGAUGCUUCCAUGUUCUGCGCCACAAAAGAUUGUCAUUUUGCCAUCAUGUUUGUUGCCACUGCCACUUCUCACCGCAACAGGUCUCCCCCAUCCAAAGUCAAUUGCCGUACACAUCGAAGCGCGGUGAGCUGCUAGCGAUCAAGCUAUUAGCCACCACCUCACUCUUUUUCACUAUCUUUGGAUUCUUCGCCCAAUUUUGGUAAAAAUUCAUGACUUCUUCAUGGGUUUGUGUGGCUACCACCUUAUUCAUUUGCAAAGCAGCCCAACCUGAAUAAUUAGAAGCAAAUUCAGAAUUCCAACCUCUUUUGUGUGUUCAACAUUAUUGAGUUUUUCAAAAGAAAAAACUCCAGCUAGCUUCCUAACCCUAAGGGGCCGUUUGGUUUAAGGUACAAAGAUAAAUAAUCCCGGAAUAAAAUUUUUAAUGCUUGUUUGGUUUGCAAUGUUCGGGAUAACUUAUUCCGGGACUAAUAAAUAGUACCGAGAUAAGUUAUCCACCUAUUUGGAGGGAUAACAAUCCCAUCAUUAUUUAUACUUGGGAUAGAAUUAGAAAAGGACACAAUUGCUCUCCAAAUUCUUAAUAUUAUCACUUUAUAUAUAUAUAUACACACACACAUUACUUUGCUUUUUUUUUUUUAAUAAAAUAUAAGGUAUUUUUAUAAAAUUAUGGACAAGUUACUAAAGUAUGUUGACAUUCCCUUUCUAACUUAAUACAUGCUUAAUUAUUAAAUAAAAAAAUAUUUNNNNNNNNNNNNNNNNNNNNNNNNNNNNNNNNNNNNNNNNNNNNNNNNNNNNNNNNNNNNNNNNNNNNNNNNNNNNNNNNNNNNNNNNNNNNNNNNNNNNNNNNNNNNNNNNNNNNNNNNNNNNNNNNNNNNNNNNNNNNNNNNNNNNNNNNNNNNNNNNNNNNNNNNNNNNNNNNNNNNNNNNNNNNNNNNNNNNNNNNNNNNNNNNNNNNNNNNNNNNNNNNNNNNNNNNNNNNNNNNNNNNNNNNNNNNNNNNNNNNNNNNNNNNNNNNNNNNNNNNNNNNNNNNNNNNNNNNNNNNNNNNNNNNNNNNNNNNNNNNNNNNNNNNNNNNNNNNNNNNNNNNNNNNNNNNNNNNNNNNNNNNNNNNNNNNNNNNNNNNNNNNNNNNNNNNNNNNNNNNNNNNNNNNNNNNNNNNNNNNNNNNNNNNNNNNNNNNNNNNNNNNNNNNNNNNNNNNNNNNNNNNNNNNNNNNNNNNNNNNNNNNNNNNNNNNNNNNNNNNNNNNNNNNNNNNNNNNNNNNNNNNNNNNNNNNNNNNNNNNNNNNNNNNNNNNNNNNNNNNNNNNNNNNNNNNNNNNNNNNNNNNNNNNNNNNNNNNNNNNNNNNNNNNNNNNNNNNNNNNNNNNNNNNNNNNNNNNNNNNNNNNNNNNNNNNNNNNNNNNNNNNNNNNNNNNNNNNNNNNNNNNNNNNNNNNNNNNNNNNNNNNNNNNNNNNNNNNNNNNNNNNNNNNNNNNNNNNNNNNNNNNNNNNNNNNNNNNNNNNNNNNNNNNNNNNNNNNNNNNNNNNNNNNNNNNNNNNNNNNNNNNNNNNNNNNNNNNNNNNNNNNNNNNNNNNNNNNNNNNNNNNNNNNNNNNNNNNNNNNNNNNNNNNNNNNNNNNNNNNNNNNNNNNNNNNNNNNNNNNNNNNNNNNNNNNNNNNNNNNNNNNNNNNNNNNNNNNNNNNNNNNNNNNNNNNNNNNNNNNNNNNNNNNNNNNNNNNNNNNNNNNNNNNNNNNNNNNNNNNNNNNNNNNNNNNNNNNNNNNNNNNNNNNNNNNNNNNNNNNNNNNNNNNNNNNNNNNNNNNNNNNNNNNNNNNNNNNNNNNNNNNNNNNNNNNNNNNNNNNNNNNNNNNNNNNNNNNNNNNNNNNNNNNNNNNNNNNNNNNNNNNNNNNNNNNNNNNNNNNNNNNNNNNNNNNNNNNNNNNNNNNNNNNNNNNNNNNNNNNNNNNNNNNNNNNNNNNNNNNNNNNNNNNNNNNNNNNNNNNNNNNNNNNNNNNNNNNNNNNNNNNNNNNNNNNNNNNNNNNNNNNNNNNNNNNNNNNNNNNNNNNNNNNNNNNNNNNNNNNNNNNNNNNNNNNNNNNNNNNNNNNNNNNNNNNNNNNNNNNNNNNNNNNNNNNNNNNNNNNNNNNNNNNNNNNNNNNNNNNNNNNNNNNNNNNNNNNNNNNNNNNNNNNNNNNNNNNNNNNNNNNNNNNNNNNNNNNNNNNNNNNNNNNNNNNNNNNNNNNNNNNNNNNNNNNNNNNNNNNNNNNNNNNNNNNNNNNNNNNNNNNNNNNNNNNNNNNNNNNNNNNNNNNNNNNNNNNNNNNNNNNNNNNNNNNNNNNNNNNNNNNNNNNNNNNNNNNNNNNNNNNNNNNNNNNNNNNNNNNNNNNNNNNNNNNNNNNNNNNNNNNNNNNNNNNNNNNNNNNNNNNNNNNNNNNNNNNNNNNNNNNNNNNNNNNNNNNNNNNNNNNNNNNNNNNNNNNNNNNNNNNNNNNNNNNNNNNNNNNNNNNNNNNNNNNNNNNNNNNNNNNNNNNNNNNNNNNNNNNNNNNNNNNNNNNNNNNNNNNNNNNNNNNNNNNNNNNNNNNNNNNNNNNNNNNNNNNNNNNNNNNNNNNNNNNNNNNNNNNNNNNNNNNNNNNNNNNNNNNNNNNNNNNNNNNNNNNNNNNNNNNNNNNNNNNNNNNNNNNNNNNNNNNNNNNNNNNNNNNNNNNNNNNNNNNNNNNNNNNNNNNNNNNNNNNNNNNNNNNNNNNNNNNNNNNNNNNNNNNNNNNCUUGCUCCAUGAUUUUACUAUAUCAUCCCUAAUUAAUUAUUAAAAAUUAUUUAUAUAUUAAAAAUUAAUAAUAUUUAAUCAAAAAAAUAAGAUAGACAUUUACAGCAUGUCUGCUUCAACUGCUUUAACCGUAAUUUUAUUAUAUAUCACCCCUAAUUAAUUAUUAUAAGUCAUUUAUGUAGUAAAAAGCUAAUAAUAUUAAAUCUGUAAUUUCACUAUAUCACCCUUAAUUAAUUAUUAUAAGUCAGUUAUGUAUUAAAAAUUAAUAAUAUUUAAUUAAAAAAAAGGUAAAAUAGACAUUUAUAAUAUGUCUGCUUCAACAGUAAUUUUACCAUAUCACCAUUAACUAAUUAUUAUAAGUUAUUUAUAUAUUAAAAAUAAUAAUAUUUUAUUAAAAAAUUAAAAUUUACAUUUAUAACAUGUUUGCUUCAAGUUUUGCUUCAAUUACUUCAGCCAUAAUUUUACUAAAUAUCACCUCAAAUUAAUUAUUAUAAGUCAUCUAAGUAUUACAAAAUUAAUAAUAUUUAAUAAAAAAGUAAAAUAUAUAAAAUGAUAAUUAACUCUUGAUGUUUUAAACUAACUUGACGUCUUAUAUGAGGUCCACUAAAAAAUUUUUCACAUGUGUUUUGUUUACAGUAAUUUUGAUAUAUCACUUUUAGUUAGUUGUUGUAAGUUAUUUAAGACAUGUUUGUUUCGCAACUUCAAUCGUGAUUUUAUUAAAUCAACCCUAAUUAAUUAUUAUGGCCAUCAAAACAUUGUGCCACUUAAAUUGGAAUAGAAAAAGUAUUAUAAAUCACAAUAAUUAAAAAUUUAAAUUAUUUAAAAUAUAAUUAACUAUUGAUGACACAAAAAAAUGGACAAGGAGAGUAACAUAUAUUAUUUGAAAAUUACAUAAAAAGUAUUAUAAAUUACAAUAGUUAACAACAUAAAAUAUUUAAAAAUAAUUUAUCUUUUAUAUAUUUCAAAAAAUAUGUAAAAAAUACUAUAAAUUACAAUAAUUAACAACUUAAAAAUUUAAAAGAUAUAAAAUAUUUAAUUGACUCUCAAAAUUAUAUCAGUGUAACUUAAAUUGGAAUAAAAGAAAAGUAUUAUAAAUCACAAUAAGUACAAACUUAAAUUAUUUUUAAAAUAAAAUUGAUUAUUAAUGCCACAAAAGUUUGGACAAGGAAAGUAUUAUAAAUUACAAUAGCUAACAGCUUAAAAUAAUAAAUUACAAUGUUAAAAAGUAUUAUAAAUUACAAUAGUUAACGGGUUAAAUUGUCUAAAUAUAUUUAAAAUAUAAUUAAUUAUCUAAAUUUUAUUUAUGUCACAUGAAUUAAAAUGAAAAUAUAAUAUUAUAAUGUCAGGUAUUAUAAAUUACUAUAGUUAACGGGUUAAAUUAUCUAAAUAUAUUAAAAACAUAAUUAUUUAUCUAAAUUUUAUUUUAUGUCCCUUGAAUUAAAAUAUAAUAUAUAUUAGAUUCGUGCUAGCACGUGCUAUAAGUAUCUAGUGUGUGUAUAUAUAAUUAGGAAAUACCCACUGCUAUCGGAUAACUUUGGGGUAACAAAAAUGAAGCUCUAACUUUUUUAGUAUUUAAUUUGGGUAAAGUAUCAAAUACACUCUGAACUUAUUCUGAAAAGUCGAUGACACACUCAAACAAUUAUGACGACCUAUUACACACUUAUACUAUUUAAAACUGAAUUUAUUUCCAUCCCGCGUAUGUAUAACCAGUCACAUAAUUGGAGAGUGCAUGUCACUCGUGCCACAUCGUCGCAAUAUCACUGCCACAUCAGAUGCUAUGUCAUAUUUCAAUUUUUUACUCUCAAUAUCACUUAAUUGCAUCCUCUCCAUUCUACAUCACAAAGCCACAUGAAACCACCAUUGUUGUCGUCAUACCAUCACUAGAUUCAUAUAUUUCACUACCAAAAAUAAAAAUAAUCACCACAAAUUUCAACCCCCACAAGAAAAUCACCGUUGAAAUUACACUAAAACUAUCGUCACCACAAAUAAUGUAAAGAAACACAACAAAAUUCAACACUCAUAAUCAAAUCUAUCAUAGAAUCAUAAUCUUCGCCGUCAAAAGUCACUUUCGAUUUCUUCUUCUUCACCACCCAACAGUUCCAACAACACCAUCACAAAAUUAUCUUCAGUGUUUACUUGCCCUUAGUACCUCAUUUUUUUUUCUUUUCUUUUAGAUCUACACUUUUUUUUAAUUGAAAUUUCACACAUUCAAAGAAAUUAUAUCAAUAGUACAAAGGUAAUCGAUCAUGAAAUUAUUGAAAAUUACUCCAUUGAAUUGGGUAUGUUAAAAAAAACGUUUAAUUAGAUAUGUCAAAAAAAAUCGUUAAAGUCUCCCAAAAAAAAAAAUUCAAUAAAAAUUUAUACCUUCUCAAUAAAUUUAUACUUUUUCAAUAAAACAACAAUUCUCCAUCACCAAAAGCUAUAUUUUCUUAACCAGUAGGUCAUUAAUUAUUUAUUAUUAUUUUUUUAGUGAAUGGAUGUAUGAAAUAUUUAGAAAAAAAUUAAGAAUGAAGAUGAAAUAUCUAAAGAUAAGGUACAUAUGAAAAUUUGAAACAAUAAUAAUAUAAAAAGAGUGAAGAAGAAGCUUUUUGAAGCUCUAAAUGUUGAAAAUAAUAGUUCACGAGUAUUGAAGAAGGGAGAGAAAAUGAUGAUUAAGAUGAGUGAAGAAAGAAAAAAUAUAAAAUGGUUUGGAAGUUAAAAAAACAUACAAAUAAAUUAUAAUAAACACGCUUAAUUUUUAUUUAUUUUUAUUUUUGUGCUACAUCAGCUUUUAGGGUGAAAAUAAUUUCACUUUCAAGUAGAAUAGGUAUGUAAUAGAUCGUCAUAAUAGUUUUAGUGUGUCAUCUACUUUUCGGGACAAGUUCAAAAUGUCUUUGAUGACUUUUUCCUAUUUAAUUUCAAUGUAAGUUUGAGAUGUCAAAAUACUCUUUGUUUACUUACAAUUGACCUUUAUACUGAAAAUAAAUGUUUUGAUUUUUAUCACCAUCAAUACUAUUUUUUAUUUUAUUUAAAAAAGGAAUGAGGAAUAAAAUACUAAUAUAUAAAUUAUAAAUAAGCAAAAAAUUAUAAUUUAAAGAUGAAGUAUAAAAUUUUAAAAUCAAAUUUUUGAGAUAUGAAGAAAAGAAUUUUUUGCUUCUGCUUUUUAAAAAAAAAAUUGUUUCUUUCCAACAACAGAAAAAACUUUUUCGCUUCUGUAUAAAAAUAUUGUUAAAAGUUACCCAAACACCAAUCUUUUUUUAAAAAUUAUAUUUUUUAAAAAAGUAAUCCCAAACGGGUUCUUACACAAAUCAAUAUAUAUAUAAAGGAGGAUUAAAGAUAUGCCUAUGUGGCACCUCUCUAUGGCCUUCUUUUACGUUUUUCUUCUUUCUCCUUUUUUUGAAUAUUUUUUCUCAUUUUUUCAAUUAAUUUAUUUUACAAAAUCAUGUCUUUAAUUCAUACAUUCAAUUAACAUUAUGAUUUCAUGUGAGUUACAACUUUUUCACCUCCUACAUCUUUUCAUAUUCUUAUUAAUCAACAUUAAAUCUUCUAUAAGUACCAAUACUAAUGGGAGAAUACCAAAUCAUAUUUUCCAUCUUCACUUAUUAAUUUUUUUUUCUUAUUGUGUAUCUAAUUUUUUUCUCUUGUCGUUAUUGUGCUAUAUAUUUGGUUCUUGUUUUUAUUAUUACUGUAUAUNNNNNNNNNNNNNNNNNNUAUAUAUAUAUAAAAUUUGCUCUCAAUUUCGGUAGAAUGUUGUGCUAUUGCAAUAUAGUUAUUUUUCUCUUCUUCAUCAUCAGAUUCUUGCUUAAACUUAUGCUCCUUAUAUAUCAAAUUUUAACUAUAGAUAUGAAUGACAAAAAGAUAAAAAUGACUAAUGUGUUUAAUAGUUAUAAGAAGUCAUAAGCAUUCGAUCUCUAUGACAUAUUUGCUUUCCUAUUUUUUUUAGUUAUAUUACAGUUUUUAAUUUGUAGAUUUUCUAAGCAAGAACAGAAGGAGACGAAUACUGAAAUGAUGGUUCGUAAAAAAGAGUGUGAAACUGUAGAAUUAUUCAUACCCAAGUAGUAUUUUUUGUACGGAGUGUCACACCCGUUUUUUAACUCUCCAAAAGAAUUGAUUUUUAAGUUUAAAAGGAUUUUUAUUAUUAAAGUGACAAAAUGAUUGAAAACUUGUUUCGAAAAAGGAUUAUUUACACUUUUUAUUUAGAGUCACCACUUGACAUAAUCCGGUGUGCCAAGUCACCUUUGAAAGAUCUUUUUCAAAACAAUUUGACUCUUUGAAACUGGUUUGCAAACAGAGAUUCCGACUAAGGAAUUCUGUUGACCGAGGGGAAGGUGUUAGGCACCCCUCGGUCCCGUAUUUUGACCACGGUCGCUUAGUGGAGCGUAUCGGCUAAUUUUGGCACUAAGAACGUAUAAACCACAUAAAACACAUAAACAAGCAUCCAAACACAAGAAACAAAAUAAAUCCAAAGUAUAGUGUUCAGUCCAAUUAUACAGUCCAAAAUAAAUAAAAAUGCAAAAAUAAAUCCUAUCUAACUUACACUAAUCCUUACUACGCUCUCGUGCUUUACCCGAUGCCUCGUGCCUUCAUCACAAACGUCUUCCGCCAACAUAGUACGUCAGGGCAUUCCCCGGUGAAUAAAUACAGUGUGUCUCGAGGCAUUCCCCGGCUAAAUGAAUACAUUUGAAUUAAAUACGAUAAACUAGAAAGAAACAUUCACACGCACAUUCCAACAUUUAACCAAAACAACAACAACAACAACAAACCCGGUAUAUUCCCACAAAGUGGGGUAUGGGGAGGGUAAGAUGUACGCAGUCCAUACCACUACCCCCGAAGAAGUAGAGAGGUUGUUUCCGGUAGGCAAAUUUUAGAACUUGUUGUAUUCAACCAAAACAACAAGUUCUAAAAUAUGCUUACCCGAACCUAUAUUGCCUAUCCGUUUCAACACAUCAUAAAUCUAUCACGAUUCAUAGCAACAAUAAAUCAAAAUUAAAUUGAAUUUAUCCUUUUCGUCAAUUUUUCAUCCCCAAAUUAAUACUCAAAAUUCCAACAAUUCGCGAUCACCACUUUAACAAUCCACAAUCAUCAUCAACGAAACCAAACAAACAAAUUGAUAUCACCCAAAUAUUCAUAUCAUGCUUUACACAAACCAAAUCAUGCGUAUAAAAUGAAAUCAAAAUGAGAACGAGAUAGAAUUGGACCUCAAAUCGAGCUUUAUUGAUUAACUGAUCUUUUCGAAUAGAAUCGUGUCCAACGGAAGCUCAACGUUGAACCUCAAUCACGAACCCAAAUCAUCAACUUUGAUCUCAUUUUGUUCUGUUUUCGCCAACCCAAACCAGAUUUGAAAAUCACAGGACCCGAACCCACUUUUCCCGAUCGUGUAUGUGCGUGUUUCGUAUUGUUGGUCGACCUAUGAGCUACGUCGAGCUUCAACAGUGACUGAAAGACGACGGGGAUGAUGUUUCAGAUGAGAAUGGUGAGGAAGAAGUGGAUUCCGGUGAGAUUUUGCCAGAAAUCUGAAGAGAAACGGUCGAACGAUGGAUGGAAAACUAAUUCCAGCGAGCCAAGUUGCCAGAACAGUGACCAAAGACCUGAAACCCUCACCCUCUCUCUUGAUUUUCACCCUCUCUACCUUAUUUUAUCACUCUCUCUUUCCGUUAUUCUCUCUCUCUCCGCUUGUGAUCCUCACUUUCUCGAUCUCACUAUUCCUCUUUUGAUUCACCUUGCGUCUCAAUAUUUUUCACCGUUUGUGUAUGAUUUGGGUAUGAGUGUGCGUGUAUGUGGUUAUUCUUGAGAGUGGAAUUGUGAGUUAGUGCCUCAUUUUUGUGUAUUGUCGAUCCAAGAAGAGAAAAAGAAAAAUGGAUGAUCCUCCCCCCAGAGGAAAAGAAAAUAUGGCGUGAGAUGUCUUUUUGUGUGAUGGUAUAUGGGCCCCUGGAAUUGUUGUUAUGUAUUCAAUUGUUAUGUAGAAUCCAAGAUGAAAAUGUUGCUAAGUUCUAUAUCCAUAUGGGUCCCAUUUUUUUGUUCUGUUACGGAAAAACAAAAGGAAAAAAAUAUGAAAGGGAGAGGGGCUGAGGUGGGGGUAAGGGGUAGGUGGGGUAGUUUGGUUAGGAUAAGGUUGUUAAUUUGUUAGGGAGUUUGUUAUUUUUGUAUUUUUGUGGGGUAUGAUCACAUGGAUGAGGACCCGUGGUGAGGUGAGCUAAAAACGGAUAAAAUCAACGUUGGGAGGGACAAAAUUAGGUGUUGUAGCAUGCCCCCUUUGAAUGUAAACAUAAAGUGUUUUUAGACAAAGAAGUAGACAACGAUACAAAAUUUUGUUCCGACCAUUAUUCAGAGAAACGGAAUGAAAAAGGACAACCGAGUUGGAGAGUUGAGUGAGGUUGUUGUCGAGGUUCCGGUCCGCGGCUCUAUCAUUACAUCAAAAUGAAAAUUUACAAGUUAAAACAUAAAUGAAAUUACAAAAAUCCUAUCUAUACAGCUUCUGUUGGACUCUUGACUUGAGUNNNNNNNNNNNNNNNNNNNNNNNNNNNNNNNNNNNNNNNNNNNNNNNNNNNNNNNNNNNNNNNNNNNNNNNNNNNNNNNNNNNNNNNNNNNNNNNNNNNNNNNNNNNNNNNNNNNNNNNNNNNNNNNNNNNNNNNNNNNNNNNNNNNNNNNNNNNNNNNNNNNNNNNNNNNNNNNNNNNNNNNNNNNNNNNNNNNNNNNNNNNNNNNNNNNNNNNNNNNNNNNNNNNNNNNNNNNNNNNNNNNNNNNNNNNNNNNNNNNNNNNNNNNNNNNNNNNNNNNNNNNNNNNNNNNNGGAAUGACUCGACUAAAAGGUACGUCUUAUAGGAAUCCAAAGGAUGACUCGACUAAAAGGUAUGUCUUAUAGGAAUCCAAGGGAGAUGACUCAACUAAAAGGUACGUCUUAUAGGAAUCAUAGGGAAUGACUUGACUAAAAGGUACGUCUUCUAGGGGUGAAGGGGAAUGACUUGACUAAAAGGUAUGUCUUAUAGGAAUCAAAGGGAAUGACUCGACUAAAAGGUACGUCUUAUAGAAAUCAAGGGGAAUGAGUCGACUAAAAGGUACGUCUUUUAGGGGUUAAGGAAUGAAUCGACUAAAAGGUAAGUCUUAUAGGAAUCAAAGGAGAAUGACUCGGCUAAAAGGUACGUCUUAUAGAAAUCAAGGGAGAUGACUCGACUAAAAGGUACGUCUUAUAGGAAUCAAGGGAAUGACUCGACUAAAAGGUAUGUCUUAUAGGAAUUAAGGGGAAUGAGUCGACUAAAAGGUACGUCUUCUAGGGGUCAAGGAAUGACUCGACUAAAAGGUAAGUCUUAUAGGAAUCAAAGGAGAAUGACUCGACUAAAAGGUACGUCUUAUAGGAAUCAAAGGAGAAUGACUCGACUAAAAGGUACGUCUUAUAGGAAUCAAGGGAGAUGACUCGACUAAAAGGUACGUCUUAUAGGAAUCAAGGGAAGACUCAACUAAAAGGCACGUCUUAUAAGAAUUAAGAGAAUGACUCAACUAAAAGGUAUGUCUUAUAGGAAUUAAGGGAAUGACUUAACUAAAAGGUGCGUCUUAUAGGAAUCAAAGGGGAUGACUCGACUAAAAGGUAUGUCUUAUAGGAAUCAAAGGGAAUGACUCAACUAAAAGGUACGUCUUAUAGGAAUCAAAGGGAAUGACUCGACUAAAAGGUAUGUCUUAUAGGAAUCAAGGGAGAUUACUCGACUAAAAUGUACUUCUGACAGGAAUCAAGGGAAUGAAUCGACUAAAUGGUACGUUUUAUAGGAAUCAAUGGGAAUGACUCGACUAAAAUGUACGUCUUAUAGGAAUCAAGGGAAUGACUCAACUAAAAGGUACGUCUUUUAGGAAUCAAAGGGGAUGAAUCGACUAAAAGGUACGUCUUAUAGGAAUCAAGGGAAUGACUCAACUAAAAGGUACGUUUAUAGAAAUCAAAGGGAAUGACUCAACUAAAAGGUACAUCUUAUAGGAAUCAAAGGAAAUGAUUCGACUAAAAGGUACGUCUUAUAGGAAUCAAGGGAGAUGACUCGACUAAAAUGUACGUCUUAUAGGAAUCAGGGGAAUGACUCGACUAAAUGGUACGUAUUAUAGGAAUCAAUGGGAAUGACUCAACUAAAAGGUACGUCUUAUAGGAAUCAAGGGAAUGACUCGACUAGAAGGUACGUAUCCUAGGAGUGAAGGUUCAAUUUAAGAAAUGUAUCACCUAGAAAAAAAAAACUGAAAUCCUUGUACAAGAAAGUGUGUCUCGAGGGAUAUAGGAUGAUGAUUUUUUACCAUGAUUUGAUUAUUAAAACUGUGUAGCAACAUUGCUUUCUGCAUUUGUAAAAGUGGGGCAUUGCAGCCCUUGAUAUUUAUGCUCUGAAGUCCUUGCUUUAAAGGUAAUAUGUUUCCUAUUUCAUCAAAGAAAACUUGGGAGUUUAAAACAUGGUGGUUGGUUUGUGGCUUUAGCUUUCACGACGAUUGCUCAUGCCUUCGUUAUAUUUAACCUGACUUCCAACCAUUAGCAUAUAUCAUUGACUUGCUGAAUCAUUGACCCGAACUCAAAUUAUUAAGAGUGACUGAAACAAACACAGUAUCUCUGCUUUGCCAUGCUUUUCAGAUAAACCCUUUGAACCUUGGUAUUUCCAUGAGUUCCCCGACUUCUCUGUUCACAAAACUUUCUACAUGCCCCUUUUUUGGCUCACAAUCAUGUCUCUUUCAUGUGCUAGCUUUUGUCCUGCUUUAUGCAAUUAAAGAAGUUGGUAACCAAUUUUGAAAUCUUUUCUCACUUAUUUUGACACGGACUUGACUCAAAGACAAGAAAAGAAAAAUGACAAUGACUUUAUUAGGACAACUGACUCAAGAAAGUGAAAUAAAAAUAAAGAGAAGAAAGAAAAGACAAUGAAUGUCCCCAUUUGAAACAAAGAAAUGAAAAUUUAUCUAGAAAAGAUAGUUGACUCUAAUGAUUAUGUCAUGAAUUUUGGAUUAAGCUGCCUGAUCUUUCCAUCCAAACUUCUACCAUUUGUUGUUGAGUUAAUGGCCUUGAAACUGAGUUGCUUCCUUAGGCCAAAUUCAUUCAAAAACCUCAUUCGGCUAGUGGCGCCUUGAAGGGUUUUCGCCAACAAACCUGUUUCUUUCUCUGAGCUCACCAAUGCCUUAUGGUGCCCAUGAGGGUUUUCACCAAUAAGACUCUCAUUUUUAUUUCUCUCAACUUACCAUCGUCUUAUGGUGACCGUGAAGGUUUUCACCAAUAAAACUCUCUCAUUUUUAUUCCUCUCCUGAUUUCUUAUGCUGAGAAAGACAAGUAGUACCCAAAAUGCAUCAUCAUAUCCAUUGCAUACUUAGCCUUAACAUUCUCAAAGAUUAAUCUGAAGGUCUUUCUUUGGUUAGAAAGAAGGGAUGACAUGAGGCCCAAACGACAUUUGAAGUGGUGUAGGACUUAUAACUUUUGGAAUCGACUCAAACAAUGAGGAUUAACUCAUGCCCCAGUUUCUUUUGACUGGGUAAUUCUAAAUUAUUUAUUUUGUUAGACCGAGACGAGAGUAUGGCAUCCUAUGUAUCUCACCCUCAAAAGAGAAGAAUCAGGUCACGCGUACUUCUGGCAGCUUAUUUUGCAUGAUUUAGACUUUUGAUUCUUUUUCUUUUAUUGACACUCUUUUCUAUUCUUUUUUUGGACACAUUUUGUCUCUUUUUUCUUUUUGAAACUUUCCUGACUCUAUUGUUUUGCUCGACACCUUUCUUUUGAGCUUUGUUGACUCUACUUGAUUCCAAAAGAGGUGUAUGAAAAAAAAAUAAAACUAAAGAUCAAAUAGGGCAAACAAAGGAUGACACAAUGUUUGGAUAAUAGAAUAAAAUGUCUUCGUCACAUCAAUUCUUGAAAAUACCAAUGCACAUCAUGCAAUAUGAAAUAAAAGAUAAAGAUCAUUUGUGACACUUUAACAACACAAACUUUAAUUGAGCAUGUGUACCACUUCUUUCUUCUACAUUUGUCAAACAUACAACUCCAUAUUUGUUGUACAUCCCUCACAUUGAACCACCCAUGCUUUUAUGGAAUUGAUUUUCUUCCUGUUCCUCUUGAUAUAAGACCAUGUAGCUACUGUUUGACCUAAUUGAGACAUGUCUUUCGAUUGAUGACCAAGUUAUUCUUGUGACUCUCAAAAUAAUUGUCUUAAUUUUCAAAGAAGGCUUCAACUUGUCACCAAAUGUCUCAGCACUCUACCUAUUUUCUCAGAUGCUCUCUUUUCCUAACUUUAACUCUCUGAUUCAAUGCUUCAUGAUUAAGUUGGAUUUCAAGAUCUGGCUAAAAAUUUUGCAGGCAUGUUAUAACACUAGAAUCAACAUAAAAUACAUUGUGUAAAGUAGACGAACAAACAACUUAAAAUAAGACAAAACAAACAAGGGACACCCAUAUCAUUAAAAGAAAAGAUAGAAGAGUUUAAGCAAAAAUGACAGAGAAACAAAACAAGAUAGAUCCUCAACUACAACCGUGAAAGAGUUUGGAAAACAGAAAAAAAAACUACCAGACCUCUUCCUAGUAAGGAGAGGGGUGACUUCUCAAUUGCUCAGCCUGAUAACUUAGCCACUGGUUUGCAUAUCAGCAUGACUAGAACUUCCACCAUGAUCAGACACAUUUCCUUCAACAAAUAAGUUCUGGGUCCUCAUGUUUAACUAUUGCUUUCCACAUAUUGUGCAGUACCAUGUGCUGGCGAAGAGUUCUGUGGAAUGGUUGAGGUGCCAAUGUUUUGCACCACAAUCAAUUUUCUUGAAUCAUCUUUUCUAUUUCUCUUUUCAAAGCACUAAAAUCCUUAAUUUUGUGACCCUGAACAUCAGAAUGAUAUGCACAUCGUAUAUUAGGAUCAAAACUUCUUGAAUGUGGGUCAGGAGUAUACCCGAUGAGAGGAGUGAUCAUGCUUCGCUGUGCCAAUCUCUGAAAUAAACUGGCAUACGACUCUUCAAUUAUUGUGAAACUAUUCCUCAAUUUCUGACUCAUUUCAUUAUUUAACUUGGAUCGAACAUCGGGCCUAAAAGGGCUUUGGUAUGUUUGUAGAAUUGGGGGAUGACUUAGAGGAGUUGGUGCGCGCCAUUGUAGGUAAGGAGAGAGUUGGACAUGUGGUUGUGCGCAAUAUAAUAGAUAUAGAGGUGGGGAAACAGAGUAUAAUGAAUUUUGGGAGUGAUUAUGGAGAGCUUGGAUAUGAACUUGGGCUUGAGACUGACGGCAACGAUGACGUCGUCUUCUUGGAUUUUCCCGUUCUCCAACUACAAUAGCAGUGUCAUCUUUCACAUUCUUCUUCCCUCCAAGUUCCCUUAAUUGAUUGCAAUAUUGUCCCAAAUGUUUCACGGAUUCCUCAUGCUCUAGUCUUUGUAUGAAACAUCUUCUUUACCCGCAGGUCCUAGAGAAUUUUUCAUAGCAUUUUCUGCACUCUUCAUUUUUCCAACUAUUUUCUCUGACUUUUCUAGUGUACUGGACUUCUUGUUAAGAAAUUUUGGUGGUCCAGUUAACUUAAAAGCAGGCUUAGGAGUAUAACAAUGAUCACCAAGAGGAUUGAAUAUAGGUUCACUAGCAGCAUGGGGACGCACAAUCGUUGGGCGAGCCAGUGUGGAAGUCCCAGUAGAGGAUUGAGCAAUAAGAUCACAGACGACAUGUGGUAUUAUGAAUAUAGCAGGCUUAUGAUGAGGAGCCAGAGGAAAAGUGGUGGAAGUAUUGAGAUGCUUUUGGCUCGAAAUGAAUUCUGAGUCAUGUUGCGGUGCAUAAAAAACAGUAGAAAACUGACUUUGAGAUUUUGAUGGAAAACUCGAGGUACUUGUAGGAUCAAUAAAGGGAAAUGGAGGAGAAGGCAACCCACUGACCCAAGCUCGAUGCAUUUCCGUUAUUUAUUGUCUUAGCCUCCUAAUCUCUUACUUAAAACUCUUUUUUUCUGAUUCUUUGUUUGAUCCAUGAUGUCACUCUCUAUAUCUUUGCUGGACACAACUAAUCCUUUAGAUUUGGUGUGAUGUGAAGGACCAGUCAGAAUACCACAAACCAACCACCUUAAACUGACUCAACAAAAAAAAAAUAGCAAAUGUGUUAGAGUUUAACACUUUUUCAAAACCUCUUUUUCCUUUUUUUUUUUAAAGAUCACCGAACCCAAGAAGGGCUCCUACGUAUCUCACCCCCGAGAGAGGAGAAUCAGGUGUGCGUAGUUCGUGAAGUCUUGCCAAAAUGGCCAAAUAAACUAAACUCUUUUUUUUUCUUGAAAUUUUAAGAAGAAAAGAAAAAUGACAAAUUGUCAAAAGAAUAGACGAUUUUUUUUUUUAAUUUUUCGGCUUUAAUAACCUAUACAAAAUGAAACCUAUGAUUGCCAGAGAAAAAGAAACUCUUUUGGGUUUUCAAUUUUGCAUUUCAUACGAAAAUGAAACUUGAACCUAUUAAAGGAAAAUCUUUUGUAGUUUUCUUUUAAAGAUGUCUAUGAAACAACUACUCUAAAUGAAGAGUGAAGAAAAUCUUUUUGGAUUUUUGAAUAAGAUCAAUCAAAAUGAAACCUACGAAUAUUAAGGAAAAUCUUUUUGCAGUUUUCUUUUCGAGGCAUAUGUGAAACACCUACUCUAAAUAAAUAGUAGAGAAUUUUUUUUUGAAUUUUUUAAAUAAGAUCUCCGAACCAAUAAUAGGCUGCCUACGUAUCUCACUCCGGAGAGAGGAGAAUCAGGGGUGCGUAGUUCGUCCAGAUUGGACAAUUUAGGAUUAAAGAAUAAACAAAACCUUGACUUGAGACACGACUAAAGACAAACGAGUGAAUAACAUAAAUAAAAUCUUUUGGGGGUUUUUAAUUUGACACAUGACACCCAUAACUAAGAAAGAAAAAUCUUUUUUGAGAUAUUUUCGCCAUAUGAAAUGUAUAAAACUUCUACCAUUUUUGAAUUAUUCUUUUAUAAAACUCCUAUUAAAAGAAAUCAUUUUAAAAAAAAAAAUUCAAAUUAUGGAAGCUUACUAAAGAAAUAAAGAAAAAUCUUUUUAAUGUUUUUGUUUUUGACAAAAUGAGUGCAAAAGGUAAAAAAUCUUUGUUAAUUUUUGAAUUGUGAAAAACAAAAGUCGUAAAGAACACUAAAAGCUAUGAAACCCUUUUUGACUCACUUUUUUUUCUCUUUCUCUUUUUCUUUUCAAACACACCUUACUUCUAACACAUGCUUUUCCUGAAUCAGUCCGUCAAAUGACCACAUUACCCUUAAAUAUGCAACAUUUAGCACAUAGAGAUGCUUUAGAGGUUGGUCUCUUACAAAGGACCAAAUAGGCCCCUCUAGGUCUCAAUAUGAUGUAGAUAAACAUGACCUAAAGGCUGACCUACGCUGGAGUUCACUAACAAGGUAGUUCGGGGGAGCGUAUGGUCUAUAGUAGAUGCGAUAGCUUUCCAUCCACUCCAUACGUCCGACGGCUCCCCCUCCUAAAAAUAAGGGUGACUCAACUAGAGUUCGUGUACACGACGUGCACUCCGAGACUUGUUGCAAAAAGAAUUGACUCGGGUUAUGGAAAUGAUGCCAGAUAUAAAGCAGUAACACAAAGAAAGACUAUAAACACGUAGCACGUAGGCACAAAACAAUGAUAAAAUAAAUACACACGAUAACACAAAUAAUGUUUAUACACCCAUAAUGUCAAACUAAGCUGAUACAACUCAAAAAAUAAGCUCAAAUUCUCGAAAAUCUCUUGCAGAGUCGCCAAAGCUGUCACACCCCUUUUUUAACUCCCAAAAAGAAUUAAUUUUUAAAUUUAAAAGGGUUUUUAUCAUUAAAGUGACAAAAUAAUUGAAAAUUUAUUGUGAACGGGGAUUAUUUACACUUUUUAUUCAGAUACACCAUUUGACAUAAUCUGGUGUGCCAAGUCACCUUUGAAAGAUCCUUUUCAAAAUAAUUUGACUCCUUGAAACUUGUUUGCGAACAGAGAUUCCGACUAAAGAAUUUUGUUGACCGAGGGGAAGGUAUUAGGCACCCCACGGUCCCAUGGUAUGACCACGGUCGCUUGGUGGAGCGUAUCGGCUAAUUUUGGCACUAAGAACGUAUAAACCACAUAAAACACAUAAACAAGCAUCCAAACACACGAAACAAAAUAAAUCCAAAGUAUAGUGUUCAGUCCAAUUAUACAGUCCAAAAUAAAUAAAAAUGCAAAAAUAAAUCUUAUCUAAUCUACACUAAUCCUAACUAUGCUCUUGUGCUUUACUCGGUGCCUCGGGCCUUCAUCAUGAAUGUUUUCUGCCAACAAAGUACGUCGGGGCAUUUCCCGGUGAAUAAAUACAGUGUGUCUCGGGGCAUUCCCCGCCUAAAUGAAUACAUUUAAAUUAAAUACGAUAAACUAGAAAGAAAUAUUCACACGUAUAUUCCAACAUUCAUCUAAAACAACAAGUUCUAAAAUUUGCCUACCCGAAUCUAUAUUGCCUAUCCGUUUCAACACAUCAUAAAUCUAUCACGAUUCAUAUCAACAAUAAAUCAAAAUUAAACUGAAUCUAUCCUUUUCAUCAAUUGUUCAUCCCCAAAUUAAUUCUCAAAAUUCCAACAAUUUGCGAUCACCACUUUAACAAUCCACAAUCAUCGUCAGAAAAACCAAACAACGAAAUCGACAUCACCCAAAUAUUCAUAUCAGACUUUACACAAACCAAAUCAUGCGUAUAUAAUGAAAUCAAAAUGAGAACGAGAUAGAAUUGGACCUUAAAUCGAGCUUUAUUGAUUAACUGAUCUUUUUCGAAUACAACCGCGUCCAACUGAACCUCAACGUUGAACCUCAUUCACGAACCCAAAUCAUCAACUUCGAUCCCUUUUUAUUCUAUUUUCGCCAACCCGGACCAGAUUUGAAAAUCACAGGACCCGAACACACUUUUUUCGAUCGUGUAUGUGCAUGUUUGGUAUUGUUGGUCGACAUAUGAGCUACGUCGAGCUUCAAAAGAGACUAGAAGAUGACGAGGACCAUGUUUCAGACGAGAAUGGUGAGGAAGAAGUGGAUUCUGGAGAGAUUUUGCUGGAAAUCUGAAGAGAAAUGGUCGAACGAUGGAUGGAAAACUAAUUCCGGCUAGCCAAGUCUCUAGAAAAGUGACCAAAGACCUGAAACCCUUACCCUCUCUCGCAAUUUUCACCCUCUCUAGCUGAUUUUAGCACUCUCUCUUUUCGUUAUUCUCUCUCUGCUUGUGAUCCUCACUCUCUCGAUCUCACUAUUCACCCUUCUAUUCACUUCGCGUCUCACCGUUUUCCACCGUUUGUGUGUGAUUUGAGUAUGGGUGUGUGUGCAUGUGGAUUUGUUUGAGAGUGGAGUUGUUAGUUGGUGCCUCGUUUUUGUGUAUUGUCGAUCCAAGAAGAGAAAAAGAAAAAUGGGUGAUCCUCCCCCAAGGGAAAAAUAUGGCAUGAAGUGUCUUUUUGUGUGAUGGUAUGUGGGCCCCUAGAAUUGUUGUUGUGUAUUCACUUGUUAUAUGGAAUCCAAGAUGAAAAUGAUGCUAAGUUCUAUAUCCACAUAGGUCUUUUUUUUUGUUCUAUUAUGGGAAAAUAAAGGAAAAAAACGUGAAGAAGAAGGGGGCUGAGGUGGGGGUAGGGGUGGAUGGGGUAGGUUAGUUAGGAUAAGGUUGUUAAUUUGUUAGAGAUUUUGUUAUUUUUGUAUUUUUGUGGGGUAUAAUCACAUGGAUGAGGACACGUGGUAAGGUGAGCUAAAAACGGAUAAAAUCAACGUUGGGAGGGACAAAAUUAGGUGUCUAUACGAAGUAUCAUAUUGUGCAAAAUAAUUCUUUAAAUCAAUGAGAAAUUAAUGUGACAAAUCUCAAUGACAGUUUAUCUAUUUUCUCUCUUUUUUUUCUUCCUCAUUCCUUUAAAUUAAACUGUCUAAAUAUUGAUUAUUUUUCAUGAAUGUUCAGAUAUAUAUUCUUCAGGCUUCUAUUUAUACAUUAAUAUUAAUAAAUUAUUAUUUUAGCGAUUUUAAUGUUAUAUUUAGAUAGGUUGAUGAAUGAAGAAGAAGAUGGACAUAGUGAAAAGGAGAAAGAAGUAGGAAUAUAAAAUAUUAUCAUGAAAAAUCAAAUAAAUUUGUAUUUUUUUAUCAAUUUUAUUAUUUAGUUGGAUAGUUAUUCCGAAUUUUUUUAUUGACAUUUUUAUUUUCUUUGAUGAAAAUUUAAUGAUUUGGUAUCAAUUUUUUAUUCUUUCGUAGCAUUCUUAAUUAUGAAAUAAAUUUAUCAUUAUUGUGAUAAUUUUAUGGAUCCAUAAAAUGAAGAGGAUGGGAAGGGGGCAGAACUCAAAUUGAGUGCUUAUAUUUAAAAAGAAAAUGCAUAAAAUCGAACUGUAGGUAGUUUUUGUCUUUAUUUUUCAUUUUAUCUUAAUUUUUUUUCCUAACUUUCUUUUCUUCCCCCAUAUGAUGUUAUAUAAGAAGGAAUCGAUGUUGAUUAUUUAGAAAAUCAGAGUAGCAAAGUGGAUUAAAAAACUGUAUAAUAGUAUCUUUUAAAAAUUUAUUAGCUUUCUAAUCAAUUUCUUUUUUAUUAAUUAAGUUUAUAUAUUAAGUUUGUAGCUUAUGUUAUUUUGUGUGGAUUAUAUAAAAAUAUUUUUGAGCAUACUAUGAAUUUUUUAUCAUUACUUUUGAAUAAUCUUGAGGGUUCCUUCUACUUGCAUUCUUGAUCAUGAAAUUGCAUGAUAUAUACUUUCGUAAUCUUUUAAUUUGAAGUUUCAGUUUUCUUUAGUGAAACUAAUUAGCAUUUGUCAGAAGUUUUUUUUUGUGAGAAUAUCACUCCAAAAUUAGCAUGAUGAUAUACAAUAUUAAUGAAAAUGCGACUUAUGGCUUAUGUGCCAGAAAUGAAAAAAAUAUAUAGAUUUGAUUUGGAAAAGUUUAUAAAUUAUCAUAUCUCAAAGCCAUAUUUAGUAUCAAAAGAGAUGAUAAGAUUCACAAUGAAAGAAAUAAUAAAUUAGAAUUCUACUCUUAUAAAUAUUAUAAUGGGGAUUACAAUUGAUAUACUCCCUUCAUUUUUUUUAAGUACAUGCUUCGUUUUUUGAGUUAAUUUAAUUAAUUUUUAAAGUUAAAUUUGAUUAGAUUAAUCUAUAUUUUUUAAAUUAAAAUUUAAAUAUUCAAAAACUAUAUGAAAAAUACUCUAUAUUGCAAUUUUUGUUUUUAAAUUAGAUUAAAAAAUACAUCUUAAAAUAUUAAUCAAAAUUUAUAUUAUUUGACUAUAACAAAGGAACCAUGCAAAAAAUAUCAAGAUGAAACAAAAGAAGCCAAAAGGAGACCAUGAGUAUUUCAUACGUCCCAUAUUAGUUGGUCAUUUUACUAAAAAUAGUUAUUCAUAUUAGUUGGUCACUUUAUUAAAUCAAGAAAGUAUUAAUAAUUUUUUUUCAAACUCUAUUAUAUUACAAUUAAUUUUUUCUGUAAGUGUUCACACUUGUUUGUAAAGUUUGCAAAAUAUUUUUAAAAGCGAGAAUUAGUAAAAUCACCUUCCUAUUUAAAAUUUCUUAAAAUGUGUAUAAAAAAAUCAAUUAAUAUGGGACAAAAUAUUUUCUUCUAUUUUGUACCAUAAAAACGAAGACAACCCAAUAAUAUUAUUGAAUGAGUUAUAGGUCGGAGAAUUAUUACUCUAGAAAUAAAUACCCUAGUUUUUUAGUGGAGUAUUUUCUUUAUUUAACAUUAGUUGCUUAGUUUAUUUUUUAGUUGUAACGGUAUGGGAAUGUAGUUAAUUACAUUCAAUUUUUUCUCAAAAUCCAGUCCUAAUCUAAGAGGGUUCUUAAUGAAUAUUCUUAAAUUCUUUCUCUUAUAUUUUGUUUUUCAAUUUCAUCUCAAUCUUUCAAAUUUACUAUAAUUCUUUUUUUCACACCAUCAAUUGACAAAAAUAAUAAUAAUAAAAAAGAUAUCUUUGAAUUAAUUAAGUUAGGAAAAACGAAAAGCAUUUUUCCAAUUGGGCGAAAGGGAGAUCAAACAUUUCUUAUAAAAAGUAUGAUAUCAUUCACUCUCUAUUGGACGGAAAGAAAGUGUUAAUUAAAAAAAAACAUGUUAAAACUCCAACCUUAAUAUCUAUAAAUUUGUGUAUUAAAAAUAACAAAAAUAUUUAAAAAAUUAUAUAAAGCAUGAGAUAUUUAGAAUCGCGCGAAGCGCGAACUAUUUCACUAGUUACUACUAAAGAAAAGCUUUGCUUAUAACUUUGGAGAUCAAUUUUUGAGUAAUACAGAUAAAAUAAAUAUCAUUGUAGGCUAAUAUUUUUAAAGAUGUGUUAGGUUCCUUCUUGACAGUUGGAUCCCUCAUUUAGGACCUAUCAGAAACCACAUCCAGGGUCUCCUCACCCCUCGGGAUGCCUCCAUCACCAUCAACCAACUCCAUAACAAUGGAGUCUGGAACCUCUCUUCUCUAUCUCUUGACUUGCCCCAGCAAAUCAAGACUAUUAUCACCACCACCCCCAUCCCUCAAUACUCCUCUGAAGAUGACAAACCCAUUUGGGGUCUAACUAACAGUGUCAUCUUCAGCACUAAUAGCAUGUACAACCUGUUAGUUAGCAUGGGAAAAAAUACAUCCACUGCUAGAGACUUCAAGCUACCAUGGAAGGUUGUUGCCCCUAAUAAAGUGACCUUUCUCUGGCUGAUGCUGCAUAAAAGACUCCCCAAAAAUGUUUAUUUGCACUACGUUGGCCUCCCCAGUCCCUUCCAUUGCCACUUUUGCCAAGGAUGAGAAGAAUCCAUUAAUCAUAUUUUCUUCACAUGUCCAAAUGUCACCCUCUUCUGGGCUGACAUUUUUCAGAAAGCUAACUUCAAACUCACCCAAAUCUGGUCCACCUUAUUUGAUAAUAACUGGGAGCUGUCCUGGCAAAAGCUUAAAGGAAAACUUUUAACAAAAGCCUUAAUUGGGACAUCCUCUUCUCCCACUGCCUUUGGACUAUUUGGCUUAGCAGAAAUAAUAAUAACUUCAACAACAAAGUUGACCACAUAUCAGCCCAGCUAGCAAUUUCGCUAAUCACUGGAUAAUCUCUCCUUAUUACUAACCAUCCUUUUCCUACUUGUGAAUCCACAAUGAUCACCACCAGAUGGUACCCACCACUGGAGGGCUAACUGAAGCUUAACAUUGAUGGCUCUACUUUGGCAUACCCAGGAAAAGGUGGUAUUGGUGGAGUUAUUAGAGAUCACGAAAGCCAAUGGGUUAUAGGCUUCCACAUGCACCUACCUUUCACAAACCCUCUGAUGGCUGAACUGCUAGCAUUGCGGCAUGGCCUUGCCAUUGCAAAAGCUAACAACCUCAGGCCCAUCUUUAUAGAAAUCGACUCUAAUAUUAUUAUUCAUAUGCUUGUUAAUGAUCAUCCUUCAUAUCAUAACAUAAUUGUCGAGUGCAGGUCUAUGCUCAGGGGCGGAUGCACAACUUUACGUGCGGGUUCCCGGGAACCCAUAACUCUCGUACAGUUCUUGAAUUUAUAUUGAAAAAACUAGUAAAUAUAUAAGAAUUAUAAGUUGGGAACCCACAAACAAAAUGUGUUAUUUGUCUAGUGGUAAAAAAAAAGCUUACUACACCAUUGUUAGGAACCCAUAAUCUUUAAAUUCUAGAUUCGUCUCUGUCUAUGCUACAGGACAUGCAGGCAGCAACACCAACCCACAUCUUCAGGACGCAGAACACAGUAGCGGACACCAUGGCCAAGAAGGGAGCUGAAAGCACUAAUACGACAUCCCCUAAGCUAUUUUGGCAAAUCCCCCAUUUUGUAAUCCCUUUUGUGCAAGCAGACAAGGAUAGCCUUUUAGCCCAUCGUAAAACUACCACUACUUCGAUUAACCUGCAUGUCUGGGUUGUGGCCCUUAACAUUUCAACUGGAGCUCUCACAACUGUUGAGAGCCUAACUCUCCAAUCGCCGUAAAUUUCUUAAUGAAUGCAUCUUAUUGACCAAAAAAAAAAAAAUCAUAAAACAAAAUGCAGGAAAUAAGAAGUCAGUUUAACUAAUUCACCCUUUAUGAAACUUUAAAAUGUUACCACUUUCAAAAUAUUAACUGUAAGGGGUUGUUUGGUGUGAGAUGUAAGGGAUAAAUAGUUUUAGAAUAAAAUGAAGGACUAUUUUAUUCUAUAUUUGGUGUGAGGUAUUACUUGAUCUCGAAAUUACUUAUCUCAUCAUUUACACUAUAGUGAUGGGAUAAGUUAUCCCAUGUAUUUGGUGGGAUAGCUAAUUCAGGAAUAAGCUAUUUCGAGAUUAAUUAUUUCGAGAUAACUCUUUUCUAACCAAACAAUCCCUUAAAAGUAAUAUAGGAAAAAUGUAAUUAGCAAUUUUUUAAUUUAAUAAAAUGGAUUAUUAAUAUAAAAUAAUAUUAUGCUCUCUUCAUUUUAUUUUACUUGUCCUAAUCUGAUAUUGCACAUUGAUUAAGAAAAAUAAUUAAUAACAUGAUUAUUUUAUUAUAAUAUUCUUAUUAAAUAUUUUUUUUAUUUUAAUUUGAAGAAAAAAUAGUUAAUACUAAAGGUAAAGAAGGAAAAAUAAAUUAUCUUAUAUUAAUUAAUAAAAAAUAAUAAGUAAAAUAAGCAAUUAAGUUAGAAAAUUUGGUACGAGUAAAAUGAAAGAAAAAGAGUAAUAAAUUAGAUGACUUAAACGAGGAGGAGCUAUGGAUAGUAGCAAAUGAAGAAAAGUUUCAAACACGGUCCAUUUCUCAAGAAGUUGACACGUGUCUAAAAUUCAAAAGAAUAUGCCUAGAACUAAGUUCCCCCCAAAUUUAUAUAAGCACACUUGCCUUAUUUCCGCCCACAGGCCUCUGUGGUAGCACAGCAGCGCAUUGUACAACCAAACCAGAACGGAGUGUACUUUUUAGGAAAUAAAAAAAAAUAAAAAAUCCUCGUCAGCGCCGAUUCGAAGAACACACUAUAAAGGAUAGCAGUAGCUUUCAUUUGGUCUUUUUUUCACCUGAAAAUCCAAAUCCCUAGGGCUUCAACUAUCGCCGCCGCAAAUCUGUGAGGCUCUCUAGGUUUUGUAGGACUCCGAUCUCUGUUCAGAACUCCACUGGGAAUUGAGCCAAUCGGAAUGUCGGGUUAUCCGGAGUUUCCUCCAGGUUUCACUGGUCGAGUUACCAUUGACCUUAAGGUAGGUUUCUUAUUCCCAUUAUUGGUUGACUGUUUUUUUCUUUUCAAUUGAUUGUAAUUGAAUUAUGAAUUAGAUUUUUGAUUCUUUGUUUUGUUGAAAAAAUGUACUUUGUGAUGAGGUGAGGGCUAAGAGUGUUGAUUUUAUUGUUUCUAAGGAGCGACUGAUCGGCUAUGUUGUUUUUCCGUAGUGAUCAUUUGAGGCUGACGGCUAAUGUAGUUUCCGAAAUUAGGUGUAUAUGGUGUUAGAUUAAUGGGAUUUUGCGUCUAAUCUGAGGUUUUGUCUUUCGGCUGGUGAAUCAUUGACCCAGUGCUGUCUAUGUUCAUAGAAAGGAAAGAUGCUUGAAUAUGCUUUAUUUUGAGUUGAGGGAAUGUGAGUGUAAUCUCACAAGUGGAAGGUGGUGAGGGUAGAGUGUAUGAAGACCUUAUUCCUGUCUCAUAGAGUCGGAAAGGCCAUUUUUUGAUAGACCCUCGACUCAAAAUAAAGCAUAUCCAAGCAGUUUGAAAAAAGGAAUACAAAAAUAAGAGCAAUAACAACAAUGAAAUACUGUGAAAUGAAGAGCAAUAUACAUUAUAUAUAGAAAUUAAUAGUAUGACAACAAAAUAAUUUGAUAUUCAAAGUACAAGGACAUAGAUGAUGCUUGAAGAACAAGAAACCACGAGAAUAAUGCAUAUACCACUGAUAAGAAGGGAGGUUCAAGUAUGACCCCCAAGCUUAUCUCGUAGGGAAGCGAGAGAACACUCAACUAUCAACUAAUCUUCUACCCUAAUUCGCGGCCUCCCAUACCUCCUAUCUAAAGUCAUGUCCUUGGUAAGCUUAAGAUGCAUCCUCUUAAUACUUCUAUGGCCUGCUCUACCUCUCUCGAUGCCUGCCACUGUCAACCUCUCAAACUUCCUCAUUGGUGCAUGUACACCUUUCCUUUUCACAUGCCCAAACCAUUUGGACCUCGCUUCCCUCAUCUUGUCUAGUUGUUCACCACGAAGGCCAGUCCUAUCUUGUCUGAAAUAUAUUUAUUCUUAAUCUUAUUUUUCCUUGUAUGCCCAUACAUCCAUCUCAACGUCCUCAUCUUUACAACUUUUAUCUUCUGAAGAUGUGAGUUCUUGACUAGCAACACUACGUUCCAUACAACAUAGUGGGUCUAACCACCACCUUGUAGAAAUUACCUUGAAGUCUUGGAGAUACCUUCUUAUAACACAAUGCUUUGGAGGCGAGCCUCCAUUCCCCCCACCCUACACCAAUUCGAUGUGUGACGUCAUCAUUGAUCUCCCCAUUACCUUGAAUUAAGACCAAAGAUAGUUGAAACAUCUUCUUUCAGGGAUAACAUAAGCCUCAAAUGUUACUUCCAUGUUGACCACACUCAUAGUUACUGAAUUACACCCCAAGUAUUCGGUCUUGCUCUUGCUUAGCUUGAACCCUUUAGACUCCACAAUUUGUCUCCAAACCUAUAGCCUAGCGUUAACUCCGCCGUGAGUCUCACCAAUCAGUACCAUGUCAUCUUCUAAUAACAUACACCAUGAAAACCUCACCUUGGAUAUGCCGUGUUAGUACAUCCGUAAUCCGUGCUAAAAGAAAUGGGCUAAGUGUUGAUUCCUGGUGUAAUCCUAUCAUGACUGGGAAGUGCUCCGAGUUCCCUUACACCCACCCCCACCCCCACCCCCUUUACCCUUAGUGUUGGCUCCAUUGUACGUGUCCUCAAUCGCCCAAAUGUAAGCCACAAGUAUACCUCUGGCCUCCAAGCAUCUCCAAAGAACCUCCCUUGGGGCUUUUUCCGCAAGCCUUGAUGAACACCAUAUGUGAAUCUCUCUUCUUGUCCCUAUACUGUUCUACAAGUCUCCUCACAAGAGAUGGACGACCCCUCCCACCCUGUCCUCACCCUCAUCUCCGCCACCCUAUCCACAGGAGCAUAAGGGAUCAAUUAAAUAAUAAUCGUUGAACAAGCGCCACAUGAAUCUCGAGAGCGCGGUGAGAGAGAGAGAGAGAAUCAAGACAGGCAUUUCAUUUUGUUUCUUAAAUAGAACUGUGACAGAUAAACUUUAUGACUUCUUGAUCCUUUAAAAAAUAAAAUAAAAAUAUGACUUCUUCGUACCUGGUUCCCUGAUCAUCUAACUGAUCUGGGGAGGAAGUCCCAGCUAACAUCCGGAAACUAACUUUAUUUGAAUACAGUCUGCUUUGAGUUGCUUCCAAUUGUCUUGUAGGAUAAUUUGGUAAAUUAGGCUGGAGUGAUACUAGGACUGUGCUUGUUAAACUAGGAUUUCAAUGUGCUGUAUAUCCAUAAAAGAAACACGGUUACUCACAUUUCUAAGUGCAACUAUCUUCUUGUUCUCUCUCUAGUUGGUCUCUCAUUCCCAUGUGAUUUCGUAGAGUAUGGUGGCCUAUCCGUUUCUUGAUUGAACUAUUUAUAUUGGAAUGAACCUUUCCUCCAAGUAUGGUGUUUAAUGCCUGACAAUAUUAGUUAAAACCAUUGUUUCGUUGCUUAGAGCGAGGAUCCAUAGCUUCAUAGUUGAAGUCAUGCACUUCUACAAAGUGUAAGCUUCCGACAUGAUUGGUGAAUUUCAUAAUUUGAAGCUGCACUUCUUGCACUUGGUUAGUGUUGAUCCUUUUCUAAUACAAUCCCUUAUCAUUAUCUUAAAAAGAAACAACAAAGUGUAAGUUCAAAUAAUGACAUGCAUAGUGAUCACAACUAGAAAACUAACAAUUCAUAAAACACACCUUUACAUAAUCAGCAAUUUUAGAGACAGAUUCUUCUUUCAAAGAUUCAGUAACUGAUAAUACUUCAUCAGUUUCUACGGAUGUUCUUUCAGGUGCAUCAAUCUGUCCAAAGCAGUAUAGCAUUAAAUGACAUAACAAGUCACAAAAGGAAAUAUAGCUAUAUAACUAAGGUGACAAGAAAAUGACAAACAUGGAGAAUAAGAUCAGUGAAUAGUUUUCUUGUCCUCAAAGUCAAAAGUGCAAGCCACCGGGACAAUGCCGUGAGCAGAAAGGAAUUAAGAAUAGGAAAAUAACUCUGAGAAAGACAUUGGGGGAUUAAGACUCGGGGAUAGAAAUAACUCUAUGAAAACCAAAUACAGUAUGAACAGAAACUAUAGUUCUACACACAAAUUGUCAACAGAUGUGCUAAUCAUAUGAAACCUCAACACUAAUGGACUAUGAAUCUAUGCGCAUCGAACUAGUUCCAUUCGUUGUUAAAACCUAGUAGAAGUACUUUAAUUGAAAUACACAACAAAACAUUGGGGGAAGUGGGAGAAAACUAACAAUUCAUUAGAUAUACCUUUACACAAUCAGCACGUUUAGAAGCAGAUUCUUCCUUCAAAGGUUCAGUAGCUGUCUGUGUAGAACCAUAGUUUCUGUUCAUACUGUAUUUGGUUUUCAUAGGAUUAUUUCUGUCCCUGAGUUUAGUUCCCCCAAUGUCUUUCUCAGAAUUAUUUUACUAUUCUCAAUUCCUUUCUUCUCACUGCAUUGUCCUGGUGGCUUGCACUUUAGACUUCGAGGACAGGAAAACUAUUUAUCGAUCUUAUUCUCCAUGUUUGUCAUUUUUAAUCACCUUUUAUUAUAUAGCUAAAUUUCCUUUUGGGACUUGUUAUGUCAUUAAAAGCUAUACUGCUUUGGAUAGAUUGAUGCCCCUGAAGGAACAUCCAUAAAAACUGAGGAAUUAUUAUCAUCUUUGAAGGAAGAAUCUGCUUCUAAACGUGCUGAUUAUGUAAAAGUGUGUUUUAUGAAUUAUUAGUUUUCUCCCCCUUCCUCCCAAUGUUUUUUUGUGUAUUUCGAUUUAACUACUAUUACUAGGUUUGAACAACCAAUUUAAUAUCUACCUUAUCAAAGAAACUAGGUUUGAACAACCAAUGGAACUAGUUGGGUGUGCAUAGAAUCAUAGUCUCUUAGUGUGGGUUUCAUAUUAUUAGUACAUCUCUUGACAAUUGGUGUGUUAAACCAUAGUCUCUGUUCAUAAUGUAUUUGGUUUUCAUAGAGUUAUUUCUGUCCCCGAGUCUAAUUUCCCUAAUGUCUUUCUCAGAGUUAGAUUUCCUAUUCUCAAUUCCUUUCUGCUCGCUGUCCGGAUGGCUUGCACUUUUGACUUUGAGGACAGGAAAAAUAUUUAUCGAUCUUAGUCUCCCAUGUCUGUCAUUUUCUUGUCACCCUUAGUUAUAUAAUUUAUUUCCUUUUGUGACUUGUUCUGUCAUUAAAUGCUAUACUGCUUUGGACAGAUUGAUGCACCUGAAGGAACAACUGUAGAAACUGAAGACGUGUUAUCAGUUAUUGAAUCUUUGAAGGAAGAAUUUGCUUCUAAACGUGCUGAUUAUGUAAAGGUGUGUUUUAUGAAUUGUUAGUUUCCUCCCCCCCCCCCAAUGUUUUGUUGUGUAUUUCGCUUAAAGUACUUUUACAAGGUUUGAAUAACCAAUGGAACUGUUUGUCUCAUUCCAGAAAAGGGCAGAAGAGAAUGCACAAAAGUUGUAUGAUGUGAUGACGAAAAAUCUUUUUAAGUUUUCAACAGAGAGAAAAAGUCUUAUAGUUCUUGGUGUGGAUAUUACCACUGAUCUUCUAUCUAAGAGACAGCAGAAUGCAAUUAAUUUGCAAAAUGGGAUUGGUUCCAGCAAUGGAGAUAAUGAUAGCAAUAGUUGUGAAGAUGAUGGAUAUGCCUCUCCGAAAGCUCUUCUAGGAACUAUCAUCGCCGGCAAUAAUGCUGUAUGUCCCAUUAAACUUCCUGCAGUGGAAAGACUGCCUCGAUAUACUACAUGGGUUUUUUUGGAUAGGUAUGUUAAAUUACCUUGAUGGACAAGACACGUGGUCUUCAAGCUUGAUUUGUGCCUCUUCUUUCCCUUAUCUACUCAAUUUUAGCUUGCUUCCUAUAUAAAUUUUGAGGUUCUUUCAUCACUUCCUAGGGCAUGCUGUUGAACCUUAUAAAUGUCUACAAUAUAUUUCUUGAUGAUCUUCAACUUACAAUUAAUCAAUUAUUUUCCUUACGGAGUACAUUUUUAGGUGUUAACUGUUGCAUCUGAUUAUACAAGGGAUGCAUUCACUGGAACGUUGAAUCACCCGUGCCCACCCUUUACAGAGGCUUUGAUCUUAGUGUCUUGUAUUUAUCACCAUACAAAUUUAAAAUCAUCUGCUUCUAGGCUUCUGUAUAAUACUAAUCCUCUAUCUUAGAAAUGUUUUAUUUUGCACUAUGGAAUUUUAUUUGAUACCUGUUCUCAGAAAGAUGUCAUAUUGACUUACUUGAUUAGAAUGCCAAUGCCAUUUAAAUUUUUUCCUCCUCGGCGGGAAUAACUUUGAUGAUGUCAUCCUUGUUUUGCAUCCUAGUUUCACUAGUUUUAGGUGACGGCCUAUUGAGUCCAUCUUCAUGUCCCUCUCCUUCUUUCUAUAGCUUUUUUUCCAAUGAGGAAGUCUUCCGCUUUUUAGUGUUGUCUUUUGAUUUUAAGUUUCCAAUAACAUUGUUAAUCAUGAUUCUAGUACUUGUAACAAUCCAAGAUUUCAAUUCUUGUUGAAGACCAUUUUUCUUAUUUAAUUCCCACCCCCACAACUCUCUCGUAUUGUGUGGAAGACACACUUAUAUCAUUAGACUAUUGCUUUGGCUAUUGUUGAAGAUUAUAGUUUUCUUGUUAUUUUGGAACUGUCCUGAUCCUACUUUGAGUGGCGCAGAAAUCAGAGGAUGACCGCGGACCAAUCAGUGGUUGGUCGUAGAAGAAUUUAUUAUGACCAGAACAGCGGAGAAGCUCUAAUUUGCAGUGAUAGCGAGGAAGAAUUACUUGAAGACAAAGAAGAAAAGAGGGAGUUUGUAGAGUCUGAAGAUGUUAUGCUGCGGUUGGUAUAAUUAAGCUACGUGUACUGGAUUCAAUCUAAGUUGCGCGGACUCUUCACUUUCAAUGCUAUGCUGCACCCCUGUCGGAUUCUCCAAAAAUACACUACUUUUGGAGAAUACGACAUGCACUAAUUGACAUUUUUGAAGAGUCCGAGCAACAUAGGAUUCAAUUGUGCCCUCCUAUAUUUUUACUUUUUUCUACUGUAGUAGCAUCAUCAAUGAACUUCUUUCCACAUGAAACAAUGGUGUCAUGUUUUCUAGAACAGCAAAAUUUUUUGCCUUUGGUCGAUCAUAAACACUACUUCAUGACAAUUAGAUCAACUACCAUGAUAGAGAAUAUUCCCUACUAGAUAUGUUAUGGUAGUCUUAAAUGUGUAUACAUUAUUUGCUAUUCAUGUCUCUCUUUAGUAGUAGUGUUGCCUAUUAUUUACCUAGAACUAUGAGCUCACCUACAUUUUGCAGUUUUUACACUGUCUCCUAACUAUAAUAUAAAUCAUUGUUCAGUUGAUGUCAAAUACAGAUCUCUUCUGUUUUAGCCUUUUCUUUUAACUGCUGUGCCAUCCAUCUCUUUGAUCAAUUAAUUAAGCGGAAGCUUUCUUUUGAAAACUUGAUUUCUUUCACAAAGAUUCCCUUUGAAACUCAUUUCAGGUGGUCUCAACUUGUACAUAUGAAAUAUGUUAAAAUUUUUAAUAAUCUCGAAUAUAGCAUGCCAUACGGAAAGAGUUCACAUGGUAUUGAGCUAGGAGCAUGGCUCAUAGGAUUUUUACUAUGGUCUGCUAUUUCUUGUUGGAUUAUCUGCUAAAUGUUUUUUUUUAAACUGGUUAGAACUUUCUCUUGCACUUCAUAUAAGGUUCUAUCUAAUCCAAUAUGUGGCUAAGAUGAUCUAUCGUUGUUUACCUUUUUGCAGUUCAACUAUCCAACAAGUUGGCUUGUCUGACAGAGUGUUAGAAUUGCUAGGGAAGUUCUUGUCUAGAAAACCCAGUGAACUCAAGGUACACACGUGCCUUAGAGAUUAGUUGCACUUUGUUAUUAAGCUCUCAUUAUGGAAUUAAACUGGCCACAGAGCAAACUCUGGUCCAGCUGUUUCCUGUUUGAUUUUUUCUGGAUUUACAGAGAUAAAUCACCAUCAAAUGUCUAUCUUAUACAGGCAAGAUAUGAAGAUCUUGUUAAGGACAAAAAGGAAUGCUCCUCAAAGAAUGAGAACAUCCAAGGGACUCUAAAUUUAUUUCUUGACAAAGAUCUUAAUGCUGCUCUAGAUUCUUUUGACAGCCUAUUUUGUCGUCGAUGCCUUGUAUGUAUCUAUCUGUUGUUUUACUUGGCUGGUUUUCUGCUUUAUACUUUUCCUUCUGAAUAUAGUUUUCUUUCUUUUUUCUCGUUUUUCCCUCACUUGCAGGUUUUUGAUUGUAAAUCACAUGGAUGUUCACAGGAUCUGAUUUUCGCGGUAUGUGAAUCGCCAUUUAACCAAUGAUUUAGUAUCUAACUUUGUGCAUUCAAAAUGGAUUCUUAGAGUUCUUUUUUACUGCAUACAUUCAUAAGGCUGAAAAACAAUUGCCAUGGUACUCUCCCGACGUGGAUAAGGAGCCCUGUUGUCCAAAUUGCUAUCGCCUGGUAUUUUGCUCCUCUUCUUUUAUGUAAUUUUUGUUGGCAUAAAUUUAGCCCCGACUUGAAUCUUUUGCUUUUUAAACAACUAUCGUUUCUUAAUAGGGGUAUGUACCUGUUCUUUACUCCUUCUAUAGCAACAAUACCUACGAACCAUCUGAGCUCUUGUACUAAUUUCAGGCCAUCACGAAGGAAAGAAAAGCUGGACUGACCUCUCCUCAGUUUGCUAAUCAUGGAGAAAACCAUGUCCGACCAUCUGAAAUUGCUAACAAUGCUCAGGUGCCUGGUAGGAAGCAGCUAUCAUGGAGAUCAAAGUCUUGCCAAAGCAGAAGUGUUUCAUCGAAUGCAAAGAAUAUCUCUGAAAACAGCGAUUCAGAGAUUAGGCUGUUAAGUGACAUCCUUACUGUUCACCGUUCUGCUUCUCCAUCUAACAAAAAAUCUGAUAGUAAAGGGGGGAGCACAAAAACAAAAUGGAAGAGAAUAGCUGAAGAUGCUCUAGUUGCUGCCAAAAAGCGGCAUAUAGAAAUAACGGCUGUGGAGUCUCCGGUGUCUAUAGACUUGAAUAUCAAGUCUAAUUCACAUAAGAAUGUCAAAAAUGUUGGUUCAUCUUCACAAAAAAGCCAACAAUCUGAUAGUGGUAGAAGGUCUAGGAGGGAAGGCUCUCCAGUUUUGGCCAUUAAAAAUUCUUUGCAAGGGGAGGGCUUCAGUUGCCAAUAUAAAGAGGCUGCCAGCGAAAAACAUGUGAUGAAUUAUGACGACGCAUUUAGGAAGAAUGAUUUUGUAGAUGAGAUUCAUGAGAAUAACUGCAGACAAGAAAUAGAUGGUGACAAACCAUGGAGACCACUUGAAAAGGCUCUCUUUGAAAAAGGUCUGGAAAUGUUUGGUCAGAGCAGGUCGGUUAACUUCAAAUUAUUCUUUGCAAUUUAAUCUAACUCCUGUUCCUGUCAGUUCUUUGACUUGUGUAUACCUUGUUUCUUAAAUUGAAUACUGCCCAACUUUUGUCUAUAAAGAAAUUGUUGUGCUACCUUUUUAAUCAAAUUCAUGCUAGUUCUCAAUAGGCAAACUAGAACUUGCAUAAUUUUCCUCAUUGAUGAUUGUGUGUACAUUCAGUUCCUGUUUUACUUGUCAAUGCUCCUCCUAGACUUUUUUAAAAAUAAAUGCUCUUCCUGGACAUAUGAAUGCUAGGCUGGUAUUUUUUUCAUGGCUGGGAUUCUUUACUUGACUUGCACCUUAUUUGUCAUGCAGCUGUAUGAUUGCCCGAAAUCUGCUGAAUGGUUUAAAAACUUGUUGGGAGGUGUUCCAGUAUAUGAACAAUUCUGAGAAUAAGCUAUUACUAGUAAGUGAGGGGGUGAAUGGAAUGUUGGAAGGCUCUUUCAAAAGUGACGGUCAUACAAUCAUGGUUAGUAUACUGACUUUGUUCAUCAGCAUGUUGCUUUGCGUUCUUGUGGAACGGUAGUAAUAUUGUUGUUACCCCCGCUUAGGUUGAUCAUGUUUUGUAUUCAAUUUCAGGGUAAUCAACCACGGAGAAGAUCUAGAUUCUUACGUAGAAGAGGUAGAGCUCGGGCCUUAAAAUACACAGGGAAAUCAGCUGGAUAUCAUGCACUUAGGAAACGAAUAUCUGUGAGGAAGGAUCAGCUUUGUCCUCAGUAUAGUCCGUGUAAUUGUCAAGCACCUUGUGGAAAAGAGUGUCCCUGUAUCGCAAAUGGGACCCUCUGUGAAAAAUACUGCGGGUAAGGAAGCAUUCUUCUCUACAAACUCCGGGGCAAUAAUAGUGUGGGACCUGGGCUGUAUUUAUCCUUUUUUUUUGAACAUUUAGCAAAUUGGUAUUCUUCAGCAUUAGGAUAUGCUGGCCACCUUCAGAAAUUACAGCCCCCUUAUCAAACUUAUAGAUUUCCUAUUAGAUCUACAGUCAUCUACAUCCACUAUACACAAUUGUUUACACCAAAAAAGUAGUGAUACUAAACAAUUCCAUUCCAUUUUACUUUUUGAAUGGAAUUAGAUUUAUCUUCAAAACAUGAAAUCUACAGUGCUAAACCAAUUUUACUGCCUUCUGGGUUUUGUCUGCCUUUUUCUUUUUCUGUCUCUUAAGCAUCUCUUUAAUCAUAGAUUUGUGCCUAUAUUAAUUAGUUUUGCUUCUACACUUUGUCAUUCUUAUGUUCUAGAUGCAAGAAUUGCAAGAAUCGAUUUCGUGGUUGUGUUUGUCUAAAUGGUCAGUGUGGAAGCAAGCAUUGCGCUUGCUUUGCUGCAAAUAGGGAAUGCGAUCCUGAUGUUUGCCGAAAUUGUUGGAUCAGGUGAGCUCCCGGUAGUGCUAUGGAUUUAUUGUCUGUUUUUAUCUUGUUCCUAAAAGCUGGUGAUACAAGUUUGCAGUGUAUAACUGGAAGUAUUUCUAGUGCCUAUGAACAUCUUUGCUUUAGGAUUCCCCAUCUUUGAUGUACCUUCCAGUUGUUAGUGGUUGCUAAUUUCCAUCAUCUUGUGUUUUUGAUAUCUUGUAUUGCCAACCCAACCCCCCAUACUCGCAAUCUUCUUUAUUGAAGCCUAAACUAUGAUUUUCAGUUUGCAUGUGCCAGCUAAAAUACUAAGGGGUCGUUUGGUAGGGGUAUUAGAAAAUCUAAUAUGUAUUAGAUAAUUAGUUAUGGUAUUAUUUAAAUCUUUGUUUGGUAGAAUUUUUAGCCUAUUUAUAACUAAUGCAUUAGUUAUACAGUAUACACCUUAAUCAAUAUUAUAGAUUGUAUGACUAAUACAUUGCAAACCAUGGUAGUAGCAAUAAAAGGUUUAUUAGUACAUGGAUAAGCAUGACUAAGGACAAAGCAACCCUUAAUACACAAAACCAAACAAUGGGUAAGAAAUAAUCCUAGGAUCACUAAUACACCCUAUUCAGUAUUAUUCUUAUACACUCUAUUAAACGACCCCUAAAGGGUUUGUUUCAUUCAUGGACUAGUUAUGCAAGGAUUGUAAUGUAUGAAUUGUUAUGCAUUGAAUAAUUGUGAAGGGUUUGAUAUAAGGUGCAUAAUUAUGAAGAAACUGCUAAUCUGUGAAUAGUAAUGCAGUGAUUAUCUAUUUUUAAGGUAUUUUUAUUGAUAGAUACUCUUAUCAAUGUAUUGUUAAUAUGCAUAGUGUUUUUCUAAAAACUUGACUGCUACGCCUCAAUUCUUACCAAGUUGGGAUUGACACUUAAUGGAGGUCUGAAUUUGAAUUAUUUAGAUUUCAGACCAUUAAGUGCAUUUGUUUUUCAUUAAGAUUUUGGCUCUUAAUAGGUCUGAAUAGGUCUUAAUCAUUCAGAUAUGGAACUAAGUUUUAAUCAUUAAGAGGUAUUCUAAUAUUCACCAUCACUCUAUCCAUAAUCAUCAGUCACCACCACUAACCAUCUCUGCUGCCGCCACCACCAUUGUCAACCACCACCUAGCCACCAACCACCACCACCACCAAUCACCUCUACCAUCAUAACCACCAUUCAUAAUCAUAAUUGCUACUAACUAUUAUUUUCAACUGCUACUAUAUCUACCACCUCUAUUAUUUUAAUUAUAUGCGCCGCUAUCACCACCGUCAAUGCCAACAUCACCACCACCACCACCACCACCACCACCACCAUCAUCAACCAUUAUCGGUCAAUCCCAACUACUAACCAACUCAUCUAUCACAACUAGUGCCACCGCUAGCUACCACUAACAUAAUAUCAGAUUUCACACAUCCUUCGGUCAACACCACCACUAUCAUAGUCAUCGGUGUCUCCAUUUCUACCACAGCUUCAACCACCAUCAUCGCUACAAUAUAUCUUUACUAAUAAUCAUCUCCACCGUCACAGCUAACAACAUCUCCAACUACCACCAAUACAUUGUCAGCUAUCGUGCAUUCAUUUUUAAGCUAUUACUAACAUCAAUCAUUACCACCAUCACCAGUACCAUUACAAACCAUCUCCAUUAUCACUAACAAAUACAAAUAUUUUUUUCAAUCAAAUAAUAAUUUUAUUGUAUUAAAUUAAAUAUUUUUUAAUAUAUAAUUAAAUAUUUGGAGUAACUGGUAAAGUUGCUGCUAUGUGACUAGGAGGUCACGGGUUCAAGUCGUGGAAAUAGCUUCUGGCAGAAAUGCAAGGAAAGACUGCGUAUGAUACACCCUUGUGGUGGGGCCCUUCCCUGGACACCGCGCAUAGCGGUAGCUUUACUGUACCGGGCUGCCCUUUUUUUUAUGCAAAUAAAUAAAUUUUGCAUAUUCAGAUAUUGAAAAACAAAUAAUCUUUACCAUUCCAUUUUCAGAUCUGAAGACAAUAGUUUAAUCAUUCAGAUAUACAUUCAAUUCAGACGUCUGAAUCUUAAUAAAAACAAAUGCAGCCUUAGACUAUUCCUCCCAGGGUGAAAUAGUACAAUGGAUUUUUGAGGAGUUCAUUACGGAAAAUCAAAUGCCGCAUUGGUGAUGCAGAAGUUUAUUUGAAAUUUUCAGAGGUUACAUCAGUAAUCGUGAUUUUAUGUUUUUUUCCUUUUAAUAGUGGCGACAAUCUAUUAUAACAUAUUAUGAUAAUGUAUAGAAUGUCACCAUUAUUACAAGGAAAAAAAUAUAAAAUUAUGAUUACUGAUGUAAUCUCUGAAAAUUUCACAUAAACUUCAGCAUAACCAAUGCGGCAUUUGAUUUUCAAUAAAAAAAAAAGACAUUCUAUAUAUUAACAAAGUAUACUAUACCAACCAUGUAGUCCCCCAAACAGUCAAUUACAAGAUUGAGGAAACUUCCUGUCCAUGUUCCUUCAUCCAUGUACUUUAAAACAUCAAAAACAUCUUCUUUUGCUGCUAAACAUUCCUUACACCAAAAACAAUAAAGGGUUAGGCAAUUCAUUUUCAACAUCUAGUUAUUGCAUUACUAUCCUCAAAACACCUCUGAUUUUAUUUUAAGCAGCCCACCAAAUACAUUCUGGGACAAUCCUCCAUCUCCUUUUGGUUGGAUAAAAUUCCUUCUCUACCCCCACUGUCCAGUGCCUCCUUUGUAUUUCACGGCAUUGGCAUCACCCAUCUAAUUCCCCUCAAAUUAAUCUCAAAUUAAUGAAUUCAAAUUUAAUUUGUCCAUUUCUAGUGUAAAAGCAUAAUUUUAUGUUGCAAAUGAGACAUUGUAUUAUUUAUACAAGACGUUAUUGCUGUGCCAUCAAUCGAUUCCUAAAAGCAUAAUCCAUUACAACAAAUUCCGUGUUUAUCUUCAUCUACCAUACUUAAACCAAAAAUUCAGUGUUAUCUGUAUCUACCAUACUUAACCAAAAAUUCAGUGUUAUCUGUAUCUACCAUACUUAACCAAAAAUUCAGUGUUAUCUGUAUCUACCAUACUUAACCAAAAAUUCAGUGUUAUCUGUAUCUACCAUACUUAACCAAAAAAUCAAUGUAACAUUUCUCUUUCUUUCUCUCUCCCUAAAAUAAAUAUCCUCAUUGAUUUAUUUGAUGGUUGAUAAUUAUUUAUUGCAGAGUGACAAUUGAUGAGCAACCUUUUCAGGCUUGAGUGAAUAUUGGCCUCAAUUUAUCUUUCAUAAAGAGUUAAAAAAGGUCAUUUUAUUUUAGUAUUGGAGUAGUUAAUUGCAACAUAAAGUCGCAUAUAAGAAAUAAAGUGCUUGUUUGGCCGUGUAAGAAAAAAAUAAUCUCAUAGCUAAUGCAAUAUUUGGAUGGUAGUUUUAAAUAAUACCCGUAUUAAGUUAUGCAGAAAUUUUUAUAUUAACUAUGCAUCACAUAAUAUGGAAUAAGAAUGCAUGUAUAAGCAAUGAGGAUUAAGCUUUUUUAAGGCAAAAGUGCCCUUUUGAAGUAAGUAAAUAUAUAACAAUCCCUUUAUUAUUAGGAUUAGGCUUUUUUAAGGCAAAAGUGCCCUUUUGAAGUAAGUAAAUAUAUAACAAUCCCUUUAUUAUUAAUCAGCAUAUAACAGCCCGUCGUUAUUAAUCACUAUAUAUAAACAAUCACUAUAUUAUAAAACCUUCAUAGCCAGUAAAUGAACCAACAACUCCACCCCCUAACCCCCUAAUUUAUUCAUUUUAAUAUGCCUCAUUUUUUGUUAUAAAGCUUUAACAUCUGUGUUAUUUGGCUUUUGUAGCUGUGGUGAUGGAACUCUCGGUACUCCUUCACAAAGAGGUGACAAUAAUAACUGCUGUAACAUGAAGCUUCUUCUCAAACAACAUCAGCAGGUAAGUAUCACUAUUAAUUUGUGAAGGAUAGUUUGUUAUUGCUAUUCGAUGUUGUUGGUUGCACUUAGACAAGUGAUUAUUAUUUGUUCCUCCCUUUGUUCUCAAAGUUUAAUUAGUCAGAUAAAGUUUGAAUUUGGCAUUAUCGAUUUCUAAAUUUUGGGUAUUUACUGGUUUUCUUAGUUGAACCUUUUUUCAUGUCACAAGUUAUGUUUUAAUCUAAUCUGUCCUUGAAUUAUAUGAAGAUCCUCUCAUUAUUUUGGCAUAUAUUGGAAAAGAUGAAGUUUCAAGUAUCUUUGGUCCAUAGUCAAGGAGACGAGCAAAUUGAUGAUGAUGGCGCACACUAUAUAGAGGCCCACAUUUGGGGUUUUGUUAGAUAAGGAAUGUGUCGCCAAGAACUUAAGGCUAAGUUAUACUGUAUGGUGGUUAGACCAGUAAUAUUGUAUGAAACAGAAUGCUAGAGACAUCACUUUGCAUUUUGGGUGUGGUUUGUUGAGGAAUGUUUUGAAGGAAUGAGUUGUGUUAUGGGAAACAUCUCAUUCUAGUUUAGAUACGGGGCAAGGUUAAUUCUACUGGGAAAUAGAUGGUGCGGGUAUGUCCUUUUGAAAGAUAAUUUCAAAAUUUGUAUAGAAUUUCUUGGCAGAGAUAGAUGACACUUCAACAAAGCAGGGAAACACAAUGUUAGCUGUUUCUCAACAUAACCAGUUGGGAUGGGGAUAUAUAAACAUGGAUAGAAUAUAAAUUGUCCACGAUCAAACCCAAUGGAAGAUAAGAUUUUCUUUGUUUGAGAUGAUAAGUCCUUUGAAGUUACAAAUAUUAGUGAUGAUUUUCCCAGAUGGUUCUCCAUUACAGAACAUGGCAGACGUUUCUCAAGCAACAUCAAAAUAGAUGAAGAUAACCAAAGGUGGGGUCUACGACAAUCUUAAGCAAACUUCCAGGGGUGUAGGGGAUCUUUACAGGACAUGGGGGUGAAAACAAGAAGUAUAUCUUUUCAGAGUGUACCAAACUUACGAUGUUUACGAGAGAUUUGUAAUAAUUGAGACUUGGUUGGGUGAGAAGAAAUCGGUUGUGAUAAUUCAAGAAGCUGGAUACAACUAUAACAAGGUUGGUUAGACGUUGCAGAUAAGAUUCUUAACUUUUUUGGGUACACGGAGGUACCCCAACAUCCUUUCUUCACCGGCAUCUUAACUGAGAACGUACUCCGAUACAACGAAGUUGCCGAGUUGGCCAGACUCAAAUCAAAACAAUGAUGUCGAAAACUCCCAUUCUCUGAGCAGAUGCCUUGUUGGUGUCUUCAGCGAACCUUUCAACUAGAGCCCUAACUCCGAAGUGAUACAAAAAUGGUUCAUCAAUAGGGGGAAAAUCACUGCAGGCCUCAAAGUCACUCCCUUAGCCCACAAUCAUUUUCUUUUUGAAAUUCCUUCGAGGCAAGAAUCCACUCGCAUCAAACCUGGUGAUUGGUUCUAGAAUGGUAGGUGUCUAUCUCUUGCUUGGUGGUCUUCGAUGAUCGGAACUUUCUCUGCAAAGUCAGAGCACAAAUGGGUUAAAGCUUUUGGAAUUCCUUUGCAUGCUUGGUGUUCAGACACCUUUUGCAAGAUUGGUGAUUUUUGUGGGGGUUAUGUCCAAAUUGACGAGGACACCAAGUAUAGGGCACACUUUUACUGGGCUUGAAUUUGUGUUGCUCAUGUAGAUGCAAGUACUCCUAAAAAAUCUCAAUUUUGCUUGUUAGAGAUUUAAAUUUGAAAUUUCAAUUUUAGAAGAUGUGCUUGCCACCUUAUGUGCCGGAAUAGGAGUUGAAGAUACCGGACAAAAAAAAACUCUGCCACAUCCUCAUCGAGCUAAGGGAAGGAUUGUGCUGUCCUUCAGUCAAUGACCACGUGGGUGUGAAUUUUAAUUCAAACUCAACCCUACAAGAAUUACCCACUUAGUAAAGGGUACACACUAAAACAACAGGAGCCUUAGUGGAUAAAAAAAAUAGACCGGAUUUAUUAUAACGAAGGCCCAAGGAGAAGAGGUGUCAAAAGAGGAAAGAGGAUCUAGAAAGCUGUUGGGCUUUUGAAAGCCCGGAUUGCGAGUAAUAAAAAUAUCAUAAGCCCAACUCCUCUUAUUAUCUCUUCCCCUUUUGAAGCCCAGUCUUUAUCACAGAACAAGAAUUCAAUGGUGGAUUUCCCCCGCCCCAAUACAGAUGCAAACGAUGAAGCUGGCACUUCAAUGGCCAUCACAAAUUCUCUUCACCGUUACCACCUUUCACCAUUGAUGGUACUGGUGUGUAGUUCUGAAGCCGAAUUCUCUUCUCAAAGUGAAACUCUUUAUCUCCCGUGGGUCGGAAAAAAAUCCAAUAAAUUGGUUGAAGUUCAUAAUCCAACAGUAAUUGAAACUUCGAGAUGGGCCAAAAUCGUGAUGUUGAAGGCAUGCAAGGCUUUUGGGUUAAUAUAACGGGAUUUGAGCUUGAAAUCCUGGACAUGAUCUUGCACAUGGAACACACAAAAAUCUGAAGGAGGUUCAGCAAAAAAGUCACGGAAUAAAGGAGAACUCAAGCUAGAAUGGCUAAAAUGUGGUUUGAAUUAUGAUGGCAUGGCAAAGGAGGAUAGGGGCAAGUUUCACAAAGUUUUUUCUGAAUGAAAGUAAAAAUCAUGAGUUGGAACGUCCGGGGUCUGAAUGUUGUAGCUAAGAGAAGUUCAGUGAAACAUUUAAUGGGUAAAUGGAAAGCAAACAUUAUUUGCUUGCAGGAGACAAAAGUAGUAGACUGGUCGUCACAAAUGAUUCAACAGAUGUGGGGCAAUAGAUGGGCUGGCUGGGCCUAGCUCAAAGAAAGUGGCAGCAGGGGCGGGAUAAUAAUUCUUUGGGAUAAAAGUUUGUGGAAUUGCAGCGGUAUACAACAAGGUUCCUACAUUCUCUUGUAUGUUAGAAAGUUCUCAAGAAGAAUUUCGAUGGUGCUUUACAAGUGUUUAUGGCCCUCAUUCUAAUCUAGAACAGGAGGAACUAUGGCUCGAGCUUGCUUCUAUUUGAGGAAUUUGGAAUGAGCAAUGGGUUAUAGGUGGUGAUUUCAAUGUAUGCAGAUUUGAAAGUGAAAGAUAUAAUUGCAUCCGAAGAUCAAAAGCUAUGAACAGCUUCUCAAAUACCAUCAAAGAUAUGAACUUAAUUGACCUCCCUUUACAAGGUCCUUUUUAUACUUGGUCCAGGGGAGAAGAUUUUAUUUAAGCCUCCAUAAUAGAUCGGUUUUUGAUCUCAUCUGAAUGGAGCGACACCUUUAAAGCCAGUAAACAAAUUGCUGUUCCAAAUGUUAUUUCAGACCACCAGGCUUAUACUUUUGGAAAAUGGGGAUUGGGAAGGCAAUUCUUCCUAUUUUAAAUUUGAAAACAUUUGGUUGCAAGAGGAAGAGGAUUCUUGGAUAAAAUUAAAAAAUGGUGGCAGAACUACUCUAGUGGAGGUCGUCCAGAUUUUAUUUUAUCAUAGAAAUUGAGGUGUUUUAAAAAAGAUAUCACUGACUGGAACAGUGAAAUCUUUGGCAAGCUGGAAACAAUCUCCCAUCCCAAGAAAAAAAGACAAGAUGUUGGUCCUAAAAAUGGAUCUACAACAGAUUGCUAAGGUUGAAGAAGAGUCACGGAAGCAAAAAUUCAGCUGUUUAUUGCUCAAGAAAGGUGAUAGAAAUACCAAAUAUAUUCAGAGGAUUGCAAAUUCCCAUAGGAGGAACAAUCAGAUUGAUAUAUUAAAAGUUGGAAGAUGAGAUUAUUGAUGGCAAUGAUCAAAUCAAGAAUAAAAUUCUCAACUUAUAUCAAGAUCUUUACAUUAAAAAGGAGAAAUGGAGGCCUACUGCAACCUUUGAUAAUCUAGCCAGCCUUACUUUGGAGGAAAAAGAAUGGUUAGAAAGAGCUUUUGAAGAGGAUAAAAUUCUUGCAACAAUUAACUCUUGCGCUCCAGAUAAAGCUCCGGGUCCUGAUGGCUAUACUAUGGCAUUUUACCAGAAGACAUGGGGUUUCAUUAAAACUGAUGUUUUGGGGGCAAUGCAUCACUUUUAUCAACACUGUUACAUGGUUAGGUCCAACAAUGCUUCUUUUAUUGCUCUUCCCCCAAAAAAGGAAGCUAUUGAACUCAGAGACUACAGCCCAAUAAGCCUUAUUGGCAGUGUCUACAAAAUCCUUGCCAAAGUUCUUGCGGAAAAACUUGAAACUCUAAUUGGAAAGCUGAUUUCAGUGCAUCAAAAUGCUUUCAUCAAGUCCAGGCAAAAUCACAAAUGCCCGUUUUAAUAGCUAACUAAUGAAGCUCUAGACUGGAAGGUCAAAAGUGGGGAGCCAGGUAUUUUGUGUAAACUGGAUAUUGAAAAAGCCUUUGAUCAAGUCAGUACAACAUCACUACAGUCAAAUACUCUGUUGUAGUUAACAGAAGUUCUGUUGGAUUUUUUUCUCCGCAAAAAGGCAUUAGACAGGGUGACUUCCUCUCACCCUUUCUUUUUAUUCGUGCCAUGGAAGGCCUCAAUGAGAUAUUGGACAUAGCCAAGCAGUUGCAGUGGAUUGAGGGCUUCACUGUGGGAAACAACACAGAUAUCCUAGUAUGAGUUUCUAAUUUGCUUUUUGCCGAUAAUACCUUGAUAUUAUUAGGUGCUGAAAGAUCCCAAGUAGAACAUCUUAACCUACCCUUUCUUAUCUUUGAAGUUAUUUGAAGUCUCUACAUCAAUAUGCUCAAGAGUGUGAUUUAUCAGGUGAAUAUGGUUCCAAUAUCCAUAUGAUUUGGCUGAACGAUUAUGCUGCAGUAUGGGGUUUUUUCCGCAACCUACUUGGAUCUACCUUUGGGGACAAAAUAUAAGUCCAACGGUAUUUGGAGUGGUGUUAUAGAGAAAGUGGAGAAAAGACUGGCUACUUGGCAGAGACAAUAUCUUUCAAUGGGCGGUAGACUAACUCUCAUCAAUAGUGUCAUGGAUGGUAUCCCCACGUAUCUCAUGUCACUAUUUCUAUUGCCUUAUAAAGUCUUGAAGUAGCUGGAUAAAGUUAAGAGGAACUUCCUUUAGGAAGGUAACAAUGAAUGGCACAAGUUUCACUUAGUUAAAUGGUCUAAUGUGGUAAGACCAAAAUAGCAAGGGGGGUUGGGAAUGAGGGACCUAGCCAAGCAUAACAAAAGCAUGUUAUUAAAAUGGCUAUGGAGAUAUGGAAUAGAGGGCAAUAGCUUAUGGAAAGAAGUAGUUGCAGCCAAGCAUGGUAAACUAAACCAUUGGUGUACUAACCAAAGUAAUUCUUCACAUAGGGUAGGGCCAUGGAAACAUAUAUGCAAACAUUGGGAAGAUUUCUUUCAAGAAAUUUCUUUUAAAGUUGGGAAUGGCCUGACAGUGAAAUUCUGGAAGGACAGGUGGCUUGGGAAUUUCCUUUUGAUAGAGCUUUAUGCAACUCUGUUCCAAAUUGCUCGUGAUUCUAACUCUACAGUUGCACAAAGACAAAUGGCUUGGGAAUUUCCUUUUGAUAGAGCUUUAUCCAACUCUGUUCCAAAUUGCUCGUGAUUCUAACUCUAUAGUUGCGCAGAACAGGGAGGGCAAUUACUUGAAUUUACUAUUCAGGAGAAACUUCAACGACUGGGAGCUUGAGAGUCUAUUUGAAUUAAUGGGUAGACCGGAAGGUUUCAACAUAUAAACCCUCAAGCUACAAAUAUCUUUUAUUGGGUUCCUAAGGCAAAGAAAUACAGUGUAAGGAAGGGUAAUAAUUGUUGAAUGCUAGGAAUGCUAUCACAGAUUUAUGACCAUUGAAGCUUAUUUGGAAACAAAGUUGCCGCCAAAGGUAAUCUGCUUUAGUUGGUUGGCAUUGCUGAAUUCUUGUUUGAUGCUGGACAAUCUUUGUAGAAGAAAUUUCCCGCUAACCAGCUGAUGUUUUUUGUGUCAGGAAAACACAAAAUCAGUUAAUCAUCUUUUUGUACAUUGUGUGGUGGCUGCGGACAUGUAGCAUAUGUUCCUUUCCCUUUUCAAUUUGAAAUGGGUGAUGUGUCAAACUAUCAGAGUAGCAGUUGUGAGCUGGAGCCAGUGGAGAGUUGAUAGGGCCAUCAGGAACACCUGGAGGACGAUACCAACAUGUAUUUUUUGGUGCCUAUUGACAGAAAGGAAACGUAGGUGUUUGAUGGAAUUUCAACUCCUAUUUAAUUACUCAAGGCCAAAUGUUUGUUCAAUCUAUAUUGUUGGUCCAACCCGUCAUACGUAAAUAGUUCUACUUCUACUGCUUACGUAGAUUUCGUUAGCUUUUAAUUCUAGGUUGUCCAUAGUCAUGUUAAGUCUUCUCUAGUUUUUUUUGAUUUUGUGGUUGGCUCCUGGGUUUUAACUUUUAUAUUGUAAUGGAGCUAGCUUUGUAUUCUUUGCAUCUGCUUGAUGCCGGAAAUGAAACAACUUCAUUAAAAAAAAAACAUAACCAGUUGAUCUAUUGGAUAAGAAGAGGAGGAAGCAAGACCCUGAAAAGAUGAUGGAAAUUGAUGCCCUCUUGUAUCUAGUGGUCUGAUGGUUUGAGUGGAGAGAAAGAUAUUGGAGGUGUUUUAAAGAUAGAACCAAUUUCAUUCAUAAAGUAAACUGGAAUUAUUUAGUAUCUUUACUUUAUCGGUGUAGCAAUUUUGUAUCAAAGAUAUAGAUCAAAUUAUAGAGCUAAUAGGCAACUUGUAGUCUGUGUUGAUAUAGUUGUUAUUCCUUUUUGAGAGUGUCCAACAUUUCUUUAAUGUCGAAGAAUACAAAUUUAAAAAAAAUUAGAGGGACGCAAAAGUGGAGGGACUUUUUCGGGCUUGAGCUUUAGAAGGGUGUUUAUUGAUUGGGAAGUAGGUGGGCUCCAAACAUUCUUAGUCUUAUUACAUUGGCAAGGCAACCCGAUUGAUAAGCCUGAUACAUGGUGGUGGAAAUUAGGGAAUAAUGGUGUUUUUUCUCUUAGGACUCUUUAUGAGAAUUAGUUGGUUUGGGUAGAGCAAGUGUUUCCAUGUAAUGCAAUAUGGAUCCCAAAGGCAUCGAUGAAGAUGUGUGUUCCUGCUUGGUUAGCUGCAAGAGGGGCGAUUUUGACAACAAACAACGUUGAGAAAGCAGAGGGUUGUAUGCAUCAACUGGUGUUACAUGUGCAAGGAAAUGGACAAAGAUGUGCAUUUUCUCUUACAUUGUUGUUUAACAAUGAGAUUAUUGGGGGAUAUUGUUAGGUAGUCAGGCACUCCAUGAGUGAUGCCAAAACGGUGAAAAAAGUGAUGUCUAGUUGGAGUAAUGGUAGGAGAAAAGAAGACGAAGGGCAUGGAAUGUGGUGCCACUCUCAUUAAUGUGGGUUGUCUCGAGAGAGAGGGGAAUAGAAUAACCUUUGAAGGUUUAGUGUUAAGUUUCCCUUGUUAGGAAGUAGUCUUAGUUCCCUUAUUUUAUUUUGGUGCACUCAGAAAGUCCCCUAUUGUAUAGACAUUUGGGUUGAGUUUUUAAAGAAUUAGUUGAUUGUAUAGAUUCUUUACUUUUUUGUAUGCCACUUGUAUAUGGUUGUUUUAUGGCCUUGUUUGUGAUAUUAAAUAUGUUUGCUUGAUCAAACAAAAAUGAAGGGGAGGUGAGACGUGUGGGCAUACCAUAAGAGAUAAGAGAUAUGAUUAGAAAUGAAGUUAUACGAGGAAAGAUGGAAGUGACCUGUGUGACGCAAAAGAUGAGGGAACUGAAGCUGAGAUGGUGCGGACAUGAGGUGUGUGAAUGCACCAUAAGGAGGUGUGAGAUGUUGGCUAUAACGGGAGAGGUAGAGAUAGGCUCGAAGAAGAACCGGGAGAGGUGAUUAGAUAAAGCAUCUCAUAGUAUAGCUUACUGAUAACAUUACUCCAGAUAGGAAGGUAUGAAGAUCAAAGAUUAGGGUAGAAGAUUAGUAGGUAACUAAGUAUUAUCCCAUGGCUUGUGGUUGAGGCAGGUGGCCUCAUCUUCGCUUUUCCUUAUUAGGUAGAUUAUUUAGUAAUCACAUAGUUUCUUUUCUUUAUGUUUAUUGCUAUUUCUUGCUUCAUUUGAUUUAUAUCCUGUUAUUUUGCCAUUUUAUUUCCUUUCAAUCCUGCUUCAGAUUCUUCUUUUAUUUGAGCUGGUGGUUUAUCAAAAACAACUUCAUACCCCACAAGGUAGGGAUAAGGUCUAGGUACAUCCUACUCUCCCCAGGUCCCACUUGUGGGUUUACACUGGUAUGGUUUUUUUUUUGUGAUGAAUUAAGUGGUUGUAUUUAGAAGUAUCAAGAAGAUGCAAGAAGUUAUAGUGAAAAAUAAGUAAAGGCUGUUAAGUCACUGUGAGGGAGCUUAUUAAAUUUAAAAAGGAAAACCAUAUCAUUUACAUGGAAGGGGAAAAGUUGCUCCAACGGGAAAGAUUUGUUGUACUUUUAAUUUCUUGGAGCAGUUAGGAGUUGAAGUCCCAUCAAAACACCUAUUGUUUCAUUCCAUGUGUUGUUUCGUUCCAUCCAUAUACACCGAAAUGUCCAUAUACACCGAAAUAUACAUGCUGGUACCAUUUGCCAGAUUUUCUUGAUGGAUCUAUCCACUUUCCUUAAGCGAUCCACUUUCCUUAAGCUCCCACUUUCAAUCCUUCUUUUGAGGCUUUAAUAAAUGUGUUGCUUCCUUUUUCACCCUUCCUGUUCAUGUAUUUUCUUUAGAGCUGUUCUAGUGUAAGAAUUGAAGGUUGUAAAGUUCCAGUUGUAGGCUAAUAGUAUUCCUUACGUUAAUUUGCAG